UUUUUUUUUUUUUUUUUUUUGGUGAUAUCAUGCCGUGCCGUGAGAACACUGUAAGAAUAUUCUUUUUCUUUUUCUUUGUUGUUAGUACAAAAGUCACGUAGCGGAAAUAACAUUAAAAAUCUUACAAAUAAGAAAGGCACAGGAGAAAACAAAAUAUUCUGUUUCAAUUUACUAAUUUCCCUCAACUACAAACUUAGGACUUCAAGUCCUUAAAUAAAGAAAUAUAAUCACAAAUCUUACUCUAAUUAUAAUAUCAAAAUAUGACUCAACUCUAUUUCCUAAACCAACUGUGACAACAAAUUUAAUAUAGUUAUCAAAUAACAAAUCAAUUUCUAAAACUAUUAAGAUCCUAAAUAUGCUUAGUUAAAAUAUUUCAAAAAUGCUUCCUUUAAAUCAACUCUUAAUUUUGUCAUUUCCAAUGCCAUUACGAGUUUCAAUCGCUUUUGCAACCUUUGUAGCAGUACAACUCAAGUGGAACUCCAAUUUGUAGCUGAUACCUAUCUGCAUAUUUGCACGUGGAAGUGGACUAUCUGCAUACAAUUUUGCUGCUAAUUCUCCUCGAUCAAAAAAGUCAUCCAUAUUGACCCAUUCGCAAUUAGAGCCACCAUAUUUCCUUGAUUAACAAUCAACAUAACUUUCAACUAAUAAAACAUACUAUUCAUAAUCUUCUUUAUGGUAAUAAUUUCCACCAUUAACAAAUUCUCUCUCCAUGGCAAUUCAAAGCAAUUUACGUACAUUCACAAAAUUUUUCUUCUCUGCUUGAAUUUCUUGGUUUCCUUGGCUUCAAAUUUGAUCAAACAACACUGUAAUAAUCAACAAUCUGGUAGGACCUUUUUUCUUUGAUCACUAUACAAUUUUAACAAUCUUAAUAGAGUCCCUCUGGACUUUUUUUAGACCUCUAUUCAAUUAGGGCCAUUGUUUCCUAAUUCCAAUCAAUGAAUGACUACUCCAAGACCAACUCUCGUUGUCCAAUUUUUCAAUAUACGAGUACUUUAUCACAAUCUCUGUACCCUUGGCACAGGUUUCUCUAUCAAAAAUUCUGCACACCCUUCAUGCACCAUAGAUACUUCAAGAUCAAACUCUUGAACUUAAGGUUUUGAUAUAGCACUUGUUAGUAUAAAAGAUCACGCAGUGGAAGUAACACUAAAAUCUUACAAAUAAGAAAGGCAUGGGAAGAAACAAAAUAUUUUGCUUCAAUUCACUAAUUUUCCUCAACUACAAAUUUAAAACUCCAAGUCUUUAAAUAGAGAAAUAUAACUACAAAUCCUAUUUUAAUUAUAAUAUCAAAACAUGACUCAACUGUUUUUUCUAAAUCAACUAUGAUACCAAAUCUAAUAUAGUUACCAAAUAAUAAAUCAAUUUUUAAAACUAUUAAGAUUCUAAAUAUGUUUGAUUUAAAAUAUGUCAACAUUUGUGAUAUGAAAUCCUCCUCCUCCUCCUUCUUCUUCUUCUUGCACAUUUUUUAACAAAAAUGUAAAACAAAAAAAGAGAGGAUGUGUUACUACUGGCUUGAAUAAGUGUAUUUAAAAAUUACAUGAAAUAGAAUAAGAAUUGUAUAUUCUCAGUCAUAUAAAUUUUGUUAUCUUGUUGAAGAAAUUUAAAAUCAUUGAUUGUACACAGACUAGCUAGACAAUUGGUUGCAUACAAAUAAUUGGGAGGCAUACAAAUAAUUGGGAGACAAUGUGACUUAACAAGGGCCCUGAUCACGGGCAUUCUAAAUCUGAAUGUUCAAAUGUCACACGCAGUAGCACUCCAGCAUCUGCUGCAGUUAUGCUGUACUACGUAAUUAUAUAUAUUAAAUGUGAAAUUUAAUAAAGCUUCGAGGAGAUUAAACAAGAAAUUUUCCUUUCUGUGAUAUUCUGCAAAAAUAAGAUGUCUGGGCACAUGUUAUCUUACGGUGUAGUUACAACCAUGGUAAAAAGGAAGAUGAUUGUUUGCUUGUUGGUUUUGAACAAAAUAAUUUGGUUUGGUGGAAUAGGAAGAUUCUGAAUUAUAUAAUAUAUACCUAUGUUUGAAGUAAUUUACGAAAGUUUUAUUUGUACUUUUCCCCCCAUAGAGUAAUGGAGAAAGAAGUAGUUGCGGCAAGUUGUUUACAGCCAGAAAUUCUGGUUCCUCGUUCUAAGGCCAGAGAUUGCCUAAUUUUAUUUUGUUCGUCAUUAUUUGUAAAAUUGAGACACUAUUAUGCAGUGAAAUACGUAAGAAAUGCCACUUGAUGUUUCAAGAAACCACUUGUCUGAUUCGAUAUUGUGCCCAUCCCAUUAAUGGCUUGUCAUCUGCUCCAUUAUUUCUUUGUAAAAUGACAUGUCGACUGGUGUUAUAGUAGAAAAUGAACACACAUUGUCAAGCUAGUCAGUGGAAUAGAUGUGAAUACGAAACUGAACUUUUGACUCGUGAGGAAGCGGCUCCAAUGAUUUAAGUUAUCAUUGAAGAAGAAAUACUUGCGUUUAGUGAAGAUAUUCUGAUCCGGCCCGGCAUUAUGACAGUGAUGGGAACAGCAGGUUUUCCUGAUAAGAAUCUCAUUUUAUUUUUAUUCAAACACAUAAUAAAUAGUUUGCUUGACAUAGGCCCAAGGUUGUUACUCGAGGAAUCCUUGACUCAAUUUAUAGUUUUUUUUUUUUUUUGUAAUUGAAUUAUCGCAUAUUUAAUUUUUGCAUGAAAUCGUCAGAGGUGGACAGGGCACCAACUUCAAGAAUUUUGUUUAGAGAUAAUUUCAGAAACCUCCUUUGAGGUUUCUGACUAUUUCACUUGUCUCCCUCUAGGUUUUCAAAAUUAUACUAACCUCCCGUAAGAUUAAUUAUUUUUGUAACAUUUAGGUCCGUCAAUAAUUAAAAAGUGAUAUUAGGAGAGAGAGAUGAUAAUAUGAUUCCAUCAAACCCCUCAUCUACUUUAAUUAAUUUAAUACCAACCCACACAUUAAAGAAAAAACACUAAAAUUUAAUGUUUAUCAUUAGGGAUCAAAUCACAUAUAGUAUUAAAAAUAGCGUAUCAUUUUAUAUUUUUUAUUUAAUAUAAGAUCCAAAUUACUCUUUUCAGUUACAUACCCAUUGUCAAACUUGGUCAAUAACAAAUAAUCAAAAAAUCAUAUUAUAGAGAACAAACUUUAACAUCAUAAAUAUUCUUGUCAACAUAUUUAAAUUAGUUGUUUAGAUUUUUAUGGUAUUAAAGGUCGCUCUUUGUAAUAUUUUGAUUACAUAUUUUUUGAUUAUUUGUUGUUGAUCAUGUUUGACAAUGAGUUUGUAACUAAAAAGAACAAUAUGAAUCUUAUAUUAAGUGAAAUAUAUAUAAUGAUAUACUAUUUUUUAUGCCACAUGUGAUUGAAUCUCUAAUGAUAAAUAGCAGAUUUUAGUGUUUUCUUUAAUGUUUAGAUUGGAAUUAGAUUAAUUAAAUAAUUUAGUAGAUGAGAGAUAAUGGUGGAAUCAUAUUAUCUUCUCUCUCCUAGUAUCACUUUUUAAUUGUUGGUUGGACCUAAAUGUUAUAAGAUAAUAAACCUUAAGGAAGGUUAGUGUAAUUUUUAGAAUCUGGAAGAAAGCAAGUGAAAUAGUUAGAAAUCUCAGGGAGGUUUCUAAAAUUGUCCCUUUAGUUUAAGAUGUGUAGGCAAAUAAAUUUUGGACCUAUACCCGUAUAUUUUGGAAGAAUCACAUUAUUGAUCUUCGGCUUUAAAAAAACAUAUCAUGCUUCAUCACGGUUUAUUAUUUAGAUGAAAACAAUCCUCAAAGUUAAAUUAGUUUUUCAAAAAAUUUAGAUGAAGCUCUAUUUGGAUUGGCCAUUUUUUCAAAAAUAAGUUUUUCAAAUACAAUGCUACAAUAAUACACAUAAUUCCAAAAACAUCUCAUCCAUACAAUAUAUCAAAUAUUUCAAAAAAAUUUUACUACUGCUGCAAUAAAUUUUUUUCAAAAACAGCUAAUCCAAACAACCAUAUCGAUAUUAUUAAUUAGUUUAACCUUUGAUCGAAUAUAGAUCCUUGUUCAAUAAGAACAAAAUGAAUUAAAGUUACACCCUCCGUGUCCCAUUCAUUUGGUUAUACUUUCCAUUUUAGGAUGUCCCAUUCAUUUUGUCAUGUUAGAAAAGUCAAAGCAACUUUUACGCUCUCUUUCCAAUAUAACUCUUCUUUUUAAUCAUACAUUCAAAUUUAAUUCAUUUUGUCAUGUUAGAAAAGUCAAAGCAACUUUUACGCUCUCUUUCCAAUAUAACUCUUCUUUUUAAUCAUACAUUCAAAUUUAAAAUUUGAAUUUGAGGGGGUAAAAUUGGAAAGAGAAGCACAAACAUCACAAUCAAACUACUAUUCUUAAAAAGUUGGAUUCCCCAAAUAUAACCAAAUAGAGCUGUUAAUCAAGUCGAGUCUCGUUAGGCAAAUAAGCUUUAAAAUGUGUUCGAACUCGGCUAGUCAAAUGUACAUGUGGCUCAAGCUCGUGCAAAUUAACCACAAUAAAAUCUAUAAUUUUCAAUUUUUAUACUUUUGACUUCUAAAAUGAUAAAUAUGCCAUUUAUUAACGAGAUUUAACGAGCUACUCGGAUAUCAAAGCUCGGCUCGUUAACUAAACAAGCACAUUUCUAGCUUGAGCUCAGCUCGUUUACCGCAACUAACGAGUCGAGCUCGAGCCUUAUCGAGCCGAGCUCUAACGAGCUUUCGAGCUACUCGUGAAGUUUAACAGCUCUAUAACCAAAUAAGUAGGACGGAGGGAGUAUAAAUUAGGCUAAAAAUUUGGUAAAUUUUUUCUCCACUAAGAUUGCAUGUAUUAGCGGGUCCAAUACGUAGUCAGUAUAGAAUAGAUUAAUCUCUUUAAUGCUUCUUUUAAGAUAGAAAGUCACAUCUUCUUAAGAUAUACAACUCAAGCUCGAACUAUUAAUCGUAAAGAUUUUACAAACACUUAAAUGUAAGUCUAAAAGUCAAAAGAAGAUGUUUCUACAAUUAUGGCAAACACCUAAAGAGACCAUUAAAUAAGGUAUAGCUCAUACAGCCAUAUCUACAUAUGCAUGCAUGUGCAUUUUCAUUUAACAAUGAAAGAGAUGAUUUUUGUCCCCAACGAAUUAUCAGGCUGGAAACAUCGAAAUUGGACACCAAGAUGUUGGGCGUUCAAAAUUUAUGUGCUUGUCCACAUCGUAAUUAGGACGUCUGCUGACACAUAAUGUGAUAGUGAUUCCACAUAUAUUUAUAUAACUCUCCGGUUAGAAGGUUACCUCCAAAGAGAUUGUGAAGCUCCAGGAAGUUAUAGCUCCCUUCCUAGCUUCAUAAUUGCUCUGACCAUUAUAGAGUUUGGAAAGCAAAAGAACGCCGAAUUUUUAGUACAUUUAAAAGACAGAUUCCAAAAAAAAAAAAAAUGGGAAUCAAAUCACCAAUGGAUGAUACUAAGUUGAAGGAGAAUGAUACUGGUGUCAAGAAGGAUGAAGUCAAGUACAGAGGAAUCAAAGCUAUGCCUUUCAUCAUAGGUAACAAAUUUAUAUGUGACUUGUACAUAGAAUUUUGUUAACUUUGUCAGCUACGGUAUUAAACAUGUGAGCUCUGCAGGAAAUGAAACGUUCGAGAAGCUGGGAACAGUCGGAACUAUAUCCAAUCUGUUGGUGUAUCUGACGACUGUCUUUAACAUGAGUACUAUUAGUGCAACAAAUCUCAUUAACAUCUUCAAUGGUACCUGCAAUUUUGGAACCUUGAUUGGAGCUUUCUUCUCGGACACUUACUUCGGCCGAUACAACACCAUAGGCUUUGCUUCAGUGGCUUCUGUCUUGGUAAAAUUUCUACCAUUGAUCUUCGUGUUUCCCAACUAGCUAGCAAAGAAAAUUUUCGGUUCUUUAAGAAAUGUUUUGAUUUUAUACCUGAAUGCAAAUAAGAACCUGAUUGAAGAUAAUUUGUUGGAGAACUAGAAUCUGAUCCUUGGUUUUGUUUCCCCUUUUUGAAACACAGGGAAUGCUCAUAUUGACGCUAACUGCAGCGAUUCCUCAGUUGCAUCCCUCUCCUUGCGGAACAGACAGCAGCAAAUGUGUUGGACCAACAGCAGGGCAACUAGCUGUCCUGUUGAGUGGAUUCGGAUUCCUAGUGAUUGGAGCUAGUGGCAUAAGACCAUGUAAUUUGGCCUUUGGUGCAGACCAGUUUAAUCCCAAUACAGAGUCCGGUAGAAGGGGAACCAAUAGUUUCUUCAAUUGGUAUUAUUUCACCUUUACAUUUGCCGUGAUGGUAUCCUUGACAAUCAUUGUCUAUGUGCAAUCCAAUAUCAGUUGGGCUAUCGGAUUGGCAAUCCCUGCAUUCAUGAUGUUCUUAUCCUGCACUUUCUUCUUCGUGGGUACGAGAAUAUAUGUGAUGGUACUGCCACAGGGUAGUCCCUUGACUAGUGUGGUACAAGUAAUUGUUGCUGCAAGCAAAAAAAGGAAAUUGGCUUUGCUAGAUCAGCCACCGGAUUCUCUUUUUGAUUUCAUAUCUCCAAAUUCAAUCAACUCUAAGCUUCCUUACACAGAUCAGUUCGGGUAUCGACUUUAAGACUUUCAAAUUCUGAUCAAUCUUUUAUAUGUAACACUUGAAGUAUAGUUUCAAACUAAAACUAAUUGAGUGGAAAUACUAAUUCAGGUUCCUGAACAAAGCAGCAAUCAUAACCCCUGAAGAUCAUAUCAACGCGGAUGGUUCAGCACACAAUCCAUGGAGGCUUUGCAGCAUCCAGCAGGUGGAAGAAGUGAAAUGCAUAAUCAGAGUGGUUCCCAUAUGGAUUGCAGGAAUUAUAUACUCUAUAGUUCUGAACUUGAUGCAGACUUAUGGGGUUUUCCAGGCCAUCCAAGCUGAUAGACGCCUUGGAAAUACCCGCUUCAAAAUCCCAGCAGCAUCUUACACAAUUUUUCAGAUGUUGAGCCUCACAGCAUGGAUUCCAAUAUAUGAUAGGAUCAUUGUUCCGUAUCUUCGUAAAAUCACCAAGAAAGAAGCCGGUAUAACUGUCCUCCAAAAGAUGGGUGUUGGCAUGGUAAUUGCAGUGGCUACCAUGGUGGUAUCUGCUCUAGUGGAAAACUGGAGAAGAACGGUGGCUCUUACUAAGCCAACCAUAGGAGUCGUAGCUCAAAAAGGCGACAUUUCUUCCUUGAGUGCCUUUUGGUUAACCCCUCAAAUGGCUCUAGCAGGGCUUUCAGAAGCAUUUACCGUCAUUGCUGAAGUUGAAUUUUUCUAUAAGCAGUUCCCCGAGAGCAUGAGAAGUUUUGGAGGGUCAUUCUUGUUUUGUGGAAUUGCAAUGUGUAGUUAUUUGAGCAGCUUCAUGAUAUCAAUAGUCCACAAAGGGACCAGAAAUGCAUCCGGAAUAGACUGGUUGGCUGAAGAUCUCAACAAGGGAAGAUUGGAUUACUUCUAUUACCUGGUUACUGCUUUGGAAGUUCUCAAUUUAGGAUACUUUCUAAUUUGUGCUAAGUGGUAUAAGUACAGAGGAACACAAGGCAAGAGCAAUAAUGGUGCUGUUGCCAUGGAAGAUUUAAGCUCCAGAGCACAUAUGGUAUAAUCCAAUUUCUGCAAUCUGAUUGAUGUGGUCUCAAGAGGCAGGACCAAGAAGCAGCUACCUACUCCUCCCCAUGUUCCCACCCAAACACAACAGUCUAACAAUAAUAAUAAUUUUAAAAAAAAAAACAAGGGUUUAAGAGGGGACAGAAUGGGUAAUGUAGUAAGAAUAGUCUCAUUUUUUUUUUUUGAAAGGGGGGUUGGGAAUCACAAGGGUAGUCAAUUUCUGUAGCUUAAUGUUUUUCAAAUGUUGCCCCUGCUUCUAAGGUAGCAAUCCAUUCACAACUCUCAGCUGGAACAGUCACUUUUGACUGCUCUGAAAUUCUGGUAAAUAGUGAUUCCUGUGGUUUUCUUGAAUUGUCUCCUAUAAAGAUGGAUACACCAUGUCUAAUGAGUCCAUGUAGACAUCAAUCUUACAUUUUAAGUCUUUGGGUGUAGAUUUAAAACUGGUGAAAAUAUUAGGGAUGGGUUCCAUCCAACUUCCCAUUUUUUUGGGGCGCCCGGGGGGGGUGCUCAAUCCAACUUAAAUUUACACUUUUUAGAAGUUUUAAUGCAAACAAUACAAGUCAUCUAUGAAUUUUAUUUAAAGUAUUGAGGCAAAUAUUGAGUCAUCUAUAACUGUUUAUGACUAUAUGUAUAUAUUUUUAAGAAUUGUACCGAUCUUCAUCUCUUUCAAUAUAAAACAAACAAGUUUAGUGUAAGGAAAAAGAAAAAAAAAAAAAACAUAUCGAUCAUAUAUUAUUUUAUCAUAUCGAUCUUUAUCAUAACUUGUCACCAAAAAAAAUUUGUUGGUAGGUUUUGCACUUAAAUAUUAGCCAUGUUGAUGCGAAAAAGUGACUUGACCAAGCACAAGAUAUGCAUAUUUGUUCUUUGUCUAUGAUUGAAUCUAUAAUAAGUCGAUGCUUGUUUCUCUUGUAACUCCAAAUUUUGAUUCAAUAAAGAUCUUACAAGAGUAAUAUCUAAAGAGAUGACCCUUAAAAGUUAAAUCCCAAGAAUUUUGGAAGCAUAAAUAGGAAAUGAAUGAAUAUAGGAACUAGAAUCACUGCUAAUCCUCUUCAGAAAAUUAAAAAAUAAUAAUUAAAAAAAAUGAAUGAAUCUAUGGACUAACCUCCAAUUGUCACAGAUCGACUAUUACUUCUACUAUCGGUCCUGAUUUUUCAUUCAAAAACUUUCAGGGUAGUGCAUGUCUUGAUUGGUCAGGUGCACGGAUUCAUGCAGACCGUGUCACAAUUACACGAUUAUUGAAGGUAGAUCCUGAUGGCCCGAAAAAUAUCUAACCUUCCCAACAAAUCGGCCUGGAACCAAAACGAUUUUCUCCUGCUGGCGUGGUAGGCUAAAAGUUUGUGCGCAAAAUCCAUUCUUUCUACAGCCACGUUUCAGUUUGUGGUUUUUUUUCCCCUUCCCACUCAGCACUCUUCAACUUUUGGCUUUAGUUCUCAAACUUUAAAAUGGGAUAUUUUGGUUUCUAAAAUAUAAUGUCUGCUCUACUUUCAUCUCUAAAAUAUAAAAUAUAUCUCACUUUUUUUCAAAUACCAAUAUGCAUUAUUAUUUCAUUAAUGAUCAGAAAGAAGCUUUACAAAUGAAAUCAGACUCACCAGUAUAACACUAUACUAUACUAGCACUAUACAAGUAUACACACAUUAAACAAGAAACUUAAUUCCUGAUGCAUUCCUGAUCUAAUCCCUAUUUCAAAAUCAGCUUCAAGUUUUUCUAAAAUCUAUCUCACUUUACUUCCUAAAGUAUAAAUUCGAUUCUAUUUUAGUUUUCAACGUAUAAAAUUUGGCUGACUUAAAUAUAAAAUCUCUCUCAUUUCUGUCAAUGAUUUUACUGAAAUAGGGAUUAAAGUCUCUCAUUUUAAAGUUUAAAGAUCAAAAUAGAAAUUUAGGUACAGUUAUAAAAUGUGCAAAGUGGAAUUGCUCAUUAUCUAAUACUACAACUUUGACAUGACAUUACACUUUUUACCAAGCCAUUUUGUUGGUGUCACAAGGGUUUGCACUUGAAGAAGACCUUCUGAAGAUCAUUUGGAUUUUUUAAUUCCAUGUUACAUUGCUUAAUUGAUAACUCGUAUCGAUAUCUUCUAGAUAAUGCUGUCCUUAAAAGAUCUUUUGAAGUGCAUAACAGAAGCUUGUCGUUCUGAACUUUGACUAGGAAAAACAAACAUUAAAAGGUCUACCUAGAAUUCAUGCUGCCUCAGGAACGCCUUUUUGACUAACAAAUAACAUUAUUGUAUCAAGUGACAUUUAAUCUAGAAGAUAGAGUACCAACAAAUAUUAAAGCCAGUGCAUUUGACUUUGUUCUGUGUACCUACUCACAACCAGUGGCGAAGAUCUUUGUACGUAAACCACACGAUAUAUCCUUCAGAUGGGCGAAAGGUGACAGGUAUCGAGUUUGUAUAAUAAUAAAUAUUUGAUUUAAUAAAAUAUAAAUUUUAUAUGCAGUGAUAAUCAAGGUCGAAUUCACAGGAAUUGGAAAAAUUUGUUUCUCCUCGAGUUCAACGUAUGGAAGAUUUUAUAAAAAUAUAAAAAUAAAUAAUUAACUAAAUCAAAACAACACACGAAAAUAAAUAUGAAUAAAUCAACAAUAGAUACGACUCUAGUCAAAGGUGCAACUUUUCAGAUACAGUACAUUCAACUGAUCAAUGAUGCAAAGAUAAUUCAAUUAUUCAUUAAUAGAUUAGUUAUAGUUGUCGUACACGUGAUAAACAACUAACUUUUCCUUACUUUUUCGAUAGUCAAGGUACGACCAUUAACUAUUUCUCUAAUCAAAAAAUAAUCCUAAAUACGACCGUAGGAUUUAAUUUUUCAAUUGCAUUAAGAAUUAGAAAAAUCAAAUUUUAACCAACAAACAUGCUACGAGAGUUUGUUUAACUCAGAUCAUACGUUUCCUUAAUAUGGAACCAAUCACGCUAAUCGCCACUGGUAUUAACUAAUCUAACAAUUACGGUUAAUUUGAUAGUAGUUUAUUAGGUUAAUUCGAAUAUCGAAUUUUUGACAUUCAAAUAACAAAACAAUCAUAAAAAUUUAAACCAAAAAAUGCACGAAUACCAAUGAAUAAAAGAAAUAAAUAAAAAUAAUUUGAUCUCACAGAUGUUUGGAACCGCAUCUUCAAGUUAAUCCUUGACUAGAAAAGAAGAUUUAGCUACCCAUUCUCAAGGAAAAUCCGUAGGACUCCAUUGAUAACAAUUGCAUAUGGUUUUUCCUCUAAAACUAACGAAAAGGCCAGGAGAAGAGCCAAAGCAAGUGACGGCCGUGUGUCGUAUUUCAAACAAUUACACCCGAAAUUGUUGCUGCCCGAACUAUUAAUCAAAUGGUCCGUCCUUUGCUUUUUCUUUUUGUUUCCUAUUCGGUCUCUACUACCAAUAACAUCGCAUGUUUCCUAAAUAGAAAAGGGUAACUACUAAGAUAAUAUUCCAAGUUCCCUAAUCCAAUACUAGAACUAAUAAUGAAAAUUGAAAUCUUCAAAAUUUACCUUCAAAAUUGCCCUAAGUUCAACUCGGACUUGGAAAUCGGCUAUGAAUGCGUCACCAUCAAAGUAACUCUUAGAAUGCUGAAAAAUUGUUCCUUUAAUCAUGUCUCACAUAAUUUCCUAUAAUUUGCACAAUUAACCAAAUAUAAGUAGAAUCUAUCAAUUAAAAUAAUAUUUGGCUAAAAUUAAGAGAAAAAUAAUUAUAAAUUGAAUAACAAUUUUGCACCCUAUUAAUUCUCCUUACACUUAAACCAUGCUUGUCCUUAAGCGUGAGAACAACUAAUCAAGCAAUUGAGUUCAAACAAUGGCUAUUGCUCAAAUAAUCUAUUGCCAAAGUAUAAUUAAAACACAUGUCAAGCAUUAUUGGCUAAUUUUCAAGAAAUAUCUCUCUAGUUAGUUUUUAAAAUUCGGGACUCUUCUAACUGUUGAUUAACUAAUCUAAGAAUAUAAAAUAUUCAACCAACAUUUGUCAGCAUAUGGUUCAACUAUGAAGUAAAAUCUCAACAUUAAAACCCCCGGAUCAGUAGGCUAACAUAAUCAACCACAUACUUGCACAUAUCUUUUUUUUUUCUAUUAGCUCAUCGCUUUUUUUUUUAUAUCCCCACACUUCAACUCUUUUUUUUUUCUUCUUUUUUUUAUUCCCUCCUUUUUUUCAAGGGAAAAGGUUAGUUCUCAGUCAUUCAAAUCUUUUGACACAAACUCCAAUAUCUACCAAAUGAGGGAGGCCGGUUACUCAACUCUUAUUUCUUAAAGACCAUAUAUUCAUGAUUAUCACCAUUAUUUGAUGCGAAGUCAACAUUUUUGGUGAAGACUCUCGGUUGUUGGGCAACGAUAACUAGCGGAGUAUAACCAAACAUUAUUCAGUGUGUAAGUACCAAAAUAAAAUUAAAGACCACACAAGCCCGUUUCAUUACUCUAAUAUGGAGAACUAAUUAGAUUAAUAGUUGAAAUAAUUUACAUGAAAAAUGCUAGACAAAUAUUUACAAUACAUAGAAAAGUUAACCAAAAAGUGUAAAAGUCACAAAAUCUCAAAUAUUCUCCAGAGAAACACCCUUAAAUCUAACCAUUUCAUACUUGACCCAUUAGACUAAAAAAAUCUUGGCAAUGGAAAAUUUUGAAACAUCUAGUCAUUGUUGAUCAGGAAAUCCACAAAGAUACACAAGAUGUGGCAAAAUUUGAAUAAAAAGUCGACAAAGUCAAACAAAAAAAUUCAACAAAAAUGCCUACACUUAUAUUUUUUCAAUAUACUACCAAUAUACUUCUCUCCCCACAUCUAACCUUACAUUGUCCCCAAAGUAAAAAAUAAAGAAUAGAAUACGAAACAAAAGGGAUAAUGAAACUUUCCUAAUAAUUGAGGAGGAUCGUGGACAGCUAUGGGUGGAAAGGACAGCGUGAAGUGAUAGCGAACGGCUAGCAAGGAAUGGAUGGUGUUGGCAGUACUGGAUGAUAAACGGACGAGCAACUUUGGUCGGCGUUUAAGCAACUGGCAGUGGUGGUUGCGAGCUCGAGCAAUGGACGGCAGGAGCACUAGAAUCGGUGGAACCAGCGAACAGGGGUAGCGAUGGAUGGCGGCGGUGGCCUGUGUACGGUGGAAGCAAUCCACAACGAACAAUGAACCAGCAAUGGACGAUGAAAAUGAGGGCGACAGUCAGGCGGCUAUGAAAGAAAUAGGGGAGAAAGAAAGAAAAAUAAGAGGAAGGAAGAAAGAAAGAAAGAAAAGAGAAAAAAAGAAAAAGAAAGAAAGAAAAACAAAUAGAAAAGGAAAAUGAAAAUAAUAUUUCUGUUUUUUUUACCCUUCUCUAGAAUAAGACGUGGGCACAUUUUGUUAGUAGAAACCCUUCUGAUGGUGAAAUUGGUGCAUUACUAGUUACCACGUGCCCUCUAGGCGCGGGCGCGUCAUGUUGUUAAGUCUGUUCCAAAAUCGAAAUAUGAACUCUCCAGACAAGUAAGCCUGGACAUGUCAUGUUGGUCCAAACAGUUCUGAUGGUGGAAUGGAGAAUUAGCACAUUAUCACGUGCCCUCAAGAUGCGGGCGCGUCCUGUUGGGAGGAAGUCUUCUAACUAAGAAAACAUCAAAAAUGAAGAUUAAACACACCAAAUUUGAAAAAUCUAAGAUAAAUAUAAUGAAACUAAUAAUAAAAAUAAACUAAAAAUUGAAUUGGAUUACCUCCCAAUAAGUGCCUUUCUAAUGUGUUUGGCCAGACAUUGUUAUAUUUGUUCAUGGAGGAAAAAAUCUUGUAACUCAUUUCAAUGUUUUAUCCUCUAUAUAAUUCUAAUAACCCUUGUAAAUAGAGUAAUUCUUGAGCACAUGAGUUACGGUUUUAUAUGGACUAGUUGAUGGCGCCAAACAAACAAGUAAUGGCCUUAAUUCUUCACCAACUCCGUCAUCACGAGCACUUACUGAUUCAAAAUAUUUGACCAUAGCAAUUCCUAAUUUAUUUAUAUCAUGAAACUCAAAAUUUUCCGAUAUAACAAAAUCAAUUUCACUAACAGAAAUUACAGAAUAAGAGUUAAGAGAAUGUUGGCUAGGGAAUGGAGGGGAUAUCACCAUAUUUAGAGAUUGUUCACUGGAUUCAUUCAUUUGAGUAAUUUGAUAUUGAAGUCUCAUUUCUUGUACUUCAACUCCCUUUUCAACUGCAUUUUUAGAUCCUUCUUCUCGAGACUUUUGCAGUUCCAUAUCACUUGUCAAGAUAAUUGCACUCUCAUCUUCCUUAAAGUCGAUGAUGGUCUGUAAGAGAAAUUCUUCACAAAUUGAAAAAAUCAAUUUGCUCAUUAUAGAUGCCAAUUCACAUCUUCCAUCCUCCAUCCCGUAAUCAUCAUUUGUGUCUCCUGUCAAAAAUGAUAUAUCAUUUCUUCAAUAGACAUAUCUGAUAUAGAUAAUGGUUGUUGACACAUUCCAUCAUCAGUCCCUCUAUUUCUCAUUUGUGUCUUCUGUUUAAAUCGAUAUGUAUUAGCAGUUAGUAAUUUCAUCAUUUUUUCAAGAGACAUAUCUGACAUGGAUAAUAAUUCUUGAGACUCUUGCUGUUGAUAUUAAUGUUGAAAAUCAAUUGGCUCUGUUGCAUAAUUAAAAUUGGAGUUGUCCUACCAUCCUUGAUCAUACCCAUUUGAAUCAGGGUCAUACCACGUUUGAGAUUGGGGUGAAAAAUCUUCAAAUUUAUUAAUUGGGGUAUUCAGGCAAUCUUGAAAUUCAAAGCACAUAACGCUUGAAUGAUACGUGGCAUAAAAAAUUUCACAAGUUGCAACAGUCAUUUUUUCUAUAAGAAAGUUAAGUGAAUCUAAAUGUUGAUCAUUAAAAAAGACACAAGUUUCACACCUCUCUUAGGAAAAAAAUCCAGUCUAUCAUCAAAAUAUUGAGUGUUAGUAGCCAUAACCUAGUAAAAAAAUAAGAGAAAAAAUAAGGUGAACUCAAAACGAAAGAAAUUAAUCAAACACUAGUCCCCAACAAUAACGCCAAAAAUUAACAGGUGCCAAGCCUGUACAAUAAUAAAUACCUGCUUAAAUAAAAUAUAAAUUUUGUAUAUAGUGAUAAGUAGGGUCAAGUCUACAGGGACUGAAAAAAUUUGUUUCUCCUUGAGUUCAACGUAUGGGGGAUUUUAUAAAAAUAUAAAAUAAAUAAUUAACUAAAUCAAAGCAACGCACAAAAAUAAAUAUGAAUAAAUCAAUAAUAGAUACAACUCUAGCAAAAAAUGUAACUUUUCAUACAUGAUCCAUUCAACUGAUCAUCGAUACAAAGAUAAUUCAAUUGUUCAUUAAUAGAUUAAUUAUAGUUGUCAUACACGCAAUAAACAGCCAAAUUUUUCUUACUUUUUCGAUAGCCAAGGUACGACCAUUAACUAUUUUCCUAAUCAAGAAAUAACUCUAAAUACGACCAUAGGAUUUAAUUUCCCAAUUGCAUUAAGAAUUAGAAAAGUCCAACCCUAACCAACAAACACACUAUGAGGGUUUUUUAAAGGAAAAAUGCAUUUUUCAUCCCUAAUGUUUAAGGUAUUAACCAAUUUCGUCCCUAAAGUUUCAUGCAAAACAUAUUUCAUCCUUGUAAUUUUAUAAUUUUGACUAAUUUCAUUCUUAAAGUUUCACACGAACACAUUUCAUCCUCAUAGUUUAAUAGAUUUGGCUAAUUGAGGACAAUUGAUGGAUUGUCAAGGAUUUUAAAUAGAAUAUCGUCAUUUGAUCAUUGUGAGGACUCGAAAAUUUACUUAUUUUAAAUUUUUAUUACUAGCUUAUUUAAAUAUUUAAUUGUCCGUUUACUCAGAAUAUUUUAUUUCAACCUUUUUAGACCCAAUUACAUGAAACUAUGAUUUACUUAUAUUUUUAAAAUGACUCGUUUCAAAAUUUAAUUUUUGAAGACUCAUUAAGUGAGAAUAGUGAAUAGGCGUUUGGAGACAAUAAACGAUUCAAGGAUACAGUGAGUUUGGAUAGUGAAGACUCAUACAUUAGUCUCAAAAUAGUUAUUUUUAUGUUUAAGUACUCAAGUAUUAGUUAGUAAUACUAUCGUUAUAAGAAUUUCUUGAAAAUUCUACUUUAUCGUGCACAAAUCGGAAGUACGCGUUUUCGUACGCUCGAUUAAUUGAAGGACUUUAGACCUUUAUUUUUAGACUAUUAAGAUUGAAUAAUAAUAGUAUGAAUAGAAGUGCAUUGGAAGUUUAGUGCACAAGUGAAACAAACUCGAGAGAAAUCAAACGCGAACGCGAACUUUUGAGACACUUUUGGCCACACACUUAAGCUUCUCAAGAAAGCUUCAUUUUCAGCAAACACACUCUCUCUCUCUUCACUCAUAGCAGCCGGCCAUCCAAGGGGGGAAGAAGAAACAAAACCCUCUUCAUUUCACCUCUCAUUUCUUACUCAAAUCUUCUCAAAAUUUUCACACACUUUGCAAACCAUUUGGAGAUCAACUCAAGCUAGGAAAGGAGCUUCAUUUGCACGGUUUUCUUGAGUUUCAAAGGACCAAAAAUUUUUGUUUUAGUCAUCUAAGGAGGUAACAAAUGAUCAACCUCUUAAAUCUUGGCUUAUAUAAGUUAUAUUGCACUUAUAAGCUUAUAGAUGCAUGUGGAUAGCUCUAUAUUAUUGGAAAUCUUAUGAGUGGGCUCUAUGAAAUCCCACAAUGGACUUGAUGAGCUGAUUUGAUAAUAUUGGGUGUUAUUUAUGUUGGAUUAGUGCUUAAUCUAGUGGAUAUAAGUUGUAUUGUGGAAGAAAACUCAAAGGGAGUGAAAUGAGAAAAAGGAAUGGUUCUGCCCCUGUUUUUCCGUGCCACUUUUGUGCAAUUUUUGUGGUCCAAUUGACUUGAUUUUAAUGUAAAUGUGUAAUAUAGAUUUUGUAGAAAAUUUUCUCAAAAAAUUACUUGAUUUGGUUGGGUAAAAGUUGAGAUUUCGAAAUUUCACCAAAACUGGAAAACGUGACCAGAGUCUCUCUGGCAGUGAUUUUGUAUUGACCAUAACUUUUUGUUCCAAAUUCAAAAUCGAGUGCCGUUUGUGGCAUUAGAAACUAGACACUUCCAGUUUUCUAACAGUAUAAAAUGCAUCCCCUAAUUCCACCUGAGUGAACUGUACCAAUCGUUUGAAGAUGCCUGUCUUGUUUCACAGAUUUACUGGGGUGCAUGUUAUGAGCUGCAAGUUGAUGCUCGAAUAUGAGUUAGUUGUGGAUAUAAUUUUAAAACGAUUCCUUCUGUGAAAUUGUAGCCUUAUGAAUGUAGUUUUCAACGCCAUCAAACAUGCUCAAUUCCAAAUGAAUUGAAUGCCAUAUGAAUUGAGUGAAUUAUGGCCGAAUGUCAAACCUGCCUCGUUGCUUGAAAACUCUAAAUUUAGGCUGGUCAAUGACUAAUCUUGAUUGGGAGUUGUUAUUUCGAAACUCUUGGUGUUAAUCACCUAUUAAACACAUUUUUUUGAUCUCUCUUAGACAUUGUCUUCAUAAAUGGACCAUGUUUGAAAAGAUUUCAUUGGCCAAAUGAUUCAGAAAAGAAAAACAAAAAUGCAAGGCAGAUUUGCCUUAGGAAAUCGUGGAAUUUUAGCGACUUUGUUACCCAACUUUUCAUGCCAAAUUUUUCAUAAAAAUUGACAGAGGAAUAGCCCUCAUAUGGUAGGGUAAUACUACCAAAUUUGAUGCCCUUAUAGGUCUAUUUCGGUGUUCAACCAAAGUCUUAAUGUUCCCAUUUUAAAUCUAGAAAACCCUUGUUUGGUGAGGAAAUUUCAGUAACUUUGUCCCACUAUAUCUUGGUGCUCAAAACUCCGAUUCUUGUUUCGCUUGUUGUUUUUUAAACUUUGAUUGUAACUCUAAUUGAGUUCCAAAUUUCAGAGGCUAGUUCGCAUUGUGUGAAUUUUUCUGAAUUUUCAAACUUUACCGAAAAUCAACCCAAAUCUGUUUUGGUAUUCCAAAACAGCAUACUGGACCCAAAAUUUGAAUGUCUUCCAUUUAGAAUCAUGGAAAAGUGCCUUCUAAAAACUUUUAGUACUUUGGAAGUAGUUUCCAACAGUACCAAGUUUUCCAAUUUUGAACUUACCAAGUGUGAAUUACGAUUUUUCAAAGAUUGCAUAUCGAAUCUGAAAUUUUCAAAGUUAAAGGAAAUUGAGUUUUUAGAACUCUCCAUUUUUCCUUUGAUACCACUUGACCGUUUUACACUCGAUUUCAAAGAUAAAAAUCAGAUUUCUCUUGUAUUUUAAAACUCCAUUUUUAAGUCUCGAUUUACGAGUAAUUAAGGUUCAUUUUCGUGAUAUCUUCUUAGAUUGUACAUUAGUACAAUCUUCUUUGAUAAUUAGGGAUCUUAAGCGAUAAUGUGUAAUAGUUUAUUAUUAAUUGCUCAGGCACUCAAGAGAACUUUCAAGAGGAUCCCACAGUGGACACCUGAACCCUCAAGUGUACUUUACUUCUUGAGUUACUUGGUGAGUGUCAAGUGCAUGAAUAGUUGAAAUUAUGGGAACGUGAUACAUGUUCAAUUGUUAUUGUCGAUUGAAAAUUUUGAAAAUGGAGUCAAGUGUGUACUUUACUGCACUCAUUUUCAUUUGAAAUGAAUAACUUAUGAAUGACUUACUUGAAAUGAAAUGAAUGAUUGAAUGUAUUGAUUGCUUGAAUGACAUGAAAUAGUAUGCUAUGGCUGCGUACGUCGUGGAGUGAAUCUUCUCGACUCACAAAUGUUAUAUGGGGAACGCCCAAACUCAUAAGCCGACCUUGAGACUCGAGCCGAUAUGGGUUUAGUCGGAAACCUCAGUGAGCCAUGAGAAUAACAUGAUAAACUUGAUCUAUUGGAGAGAUCUGGCAAAACAAGUGGAACUUAGCUCCGGAGAGUUACUAUAUCCUUAAAUUGUUUCUAUUUAUAUUUCACUUGAAUCGUUAGUUACUCGAUUAUUAUCGUUUUUCUUGUGAAUUGAAAUUGUUAUUUGGACAACAUACUUGCAUGUGUGUUUCUUGGCCUCACGAGUAAUUGCUCACCCCAUAGAUUUGUUUUCCUUAACAGAAAUGGAUGUGAAGUGAGACUCGAAGAAACCUUUCUGUUGUACUUUUGUGUUAAGGUUCCAAAUAUAAUUGACUAGACAUUGUGGCUAUUGUAUAUUUUGGGAAUUGAUGUAUUUUUUGGGAACCAAAGUAAGAAUUGGAUGAUUGAUAUAUUUUUGGAACUAGUGGUGUAAGUUUUAAUGUUAUUUAUGGAAGCGACUUAUCUUUCUUACUUUGUCUUGUCGUGAUAGCUAGUAUUGUAAUAAGCUUGAACAGGAGUUUUACCGAGUCCUGGCGAGAGUUGGGCAGGCAUCCCGUGAAUACCCUUUGGUUCGCCUUAGGGAGAAGUGGGGGCAUCACAAUCACAGCAUGCCCAUUAGUAAAAAAAAAACACUAGAUUAACCAAAAGGUUAAAAAUCUUUCCUUAAUUCACUUUCUCAUUUUAGAACUAAAAAAAAAACCUAAGAAAUUUUUAGCCACCAUUAUUUUCAUCUUAACAAAUCGAACAAGAAAAUCAAAACACAAAGAAGUCGUGGAAAACAAACAGCCUCACUAUAGCCAAUUGGAAAAAAAUGUCGAACAACCCCAUUACAACUAAUUGGAGAAAAAUAUUAAUGUGAAAGAAAAAAUUGUUUGGAUUGUCAUUUAUUUGCAAAACUUUGUUUUGUUGCUGUGUAUUUUACACCAACAGUUGCAUCAUGUACAUGUUUUUCAAUCAUCUAUUAAUCUUUCAAUCUAUUUGUUUUAUCUCAAACACAUCAUAUCAUAAUUUUAAAAAACAGAGAGAUAGUCUCUUAUCCAAAACACUUGUUAUUUUUAUAACUUAAUCAAUAACUGAAUUAAGUAUUAAUAAUACAAUUACUAAUAAGACAUGUGAUGAUAUUAUGUACAAAUUGGUUAACAAUCAUUUAAUUGUCCUCAAUUGGUAGAAAUUAUGAAACUAUGAGGAUGAAAUGUAUUCUACAAAAACUUUGGGGACAAAAUUGAUCAAAAUUAUAAAACUAUAAAGAUGAAAUAUGUUUGGAAUGAAACUUCAGGGAUGAAAUUGGUUAACGCCUUAAACAUUAGGGAUGAAAAGUGCAUUUUUUCUAUUUUUUAAAAUUAGAUAAUACGUUUCCCUAACAUAGGACCAAUCCCACUAGUCGCCACUGGCAUUAACCAAUCAAAUAAUUACGGAUUUCACCGGUUAAUUUGGUAGUAGAUUAUUAGGUUAAUUCGGAUAUCAGACCAUUGAUAUUCAAAUAACAAAACAAUCAUAAGAAAUUAAAUCAGAAAAUGCACGAAUACCAAUCAAUAAAAGAAAUAAAUAAAAAUAAUUCGAUCUCAUAGAUGUUUGGAACUGUGUCUUCAAGUUAACUCUUGACUAGAAAAGAAGAUUUAGCUAUGCAUCCUCAAGGGAAAUCCGCAAGACUCUAUUGACAACAAUUGGGUAUAAUUUUUCCUCUAAAACUAAUGAAAAGGCUAGGAGAAGAGCCAAAGCAAGUGAUGGCUGUGUGUUGUACUUCAAAGAGUCACACCCGAAAUUGUAGCUGGCAGAACUAUUAAUCAAACGGUCUGUCUUUUGCUUUUUCUUUUUGUUUCCUAUUUGAUCUCUACGAGCAAUAACACCGCAUGUUUCCUAAAUAGAAAAAGGUAACUACUAAGAUAAUAUUCCAAGUUCCCUAAUCCACUACUAGAACUAAUAAUGAAAAUUAAAGUCUUUAAAAUCUUCCUUCAAAAAUUGCCCUGAGUUCGACUCGGACUUGGAAAUCGGCCCCGAAUGCAUCACCAUUAAAGUAACUCUUAGAAUGCUGAAAAAUUGCUUCUUUUCAUCACGUCUAACAUAAUUCCCUACACUUAAUACAAUUAACCAAAUAUAAGUAGAUCUAUCAAUAAAAAUAAUAUUUGGCUAAAAUUAAGAGAAAAAUAAUUAUAAAUUGAAUAACAAUUUUGCACCCUAUCAGAAGGAGAAUGUGUCACAUAACUCAAGCAUAAUGUAUCAUAGUGAUUUGAUUACUAUUUUUGAGAGAUUUUAUAGAAAAAAUGUAAUGUAAUGACUUGAUAUAUGUUAAAUAAAAGCGCAAUUCAAAAAUGUAUUUAUAAAAAAAAAGUAAAAAAUUUUUGAAAAAAAUGGCAAUUCAAACAAAGUUGCUAGGGAUAUUUUCUAGGGCUAAUUUCAGAAACCUUCUCUGAGAUUUUUGACAAUUUCACUCACCUCCCUUCAGUUUUGAAUAAUUACACUAACCUCCCUUCAUGCAGUAAAAUGACUGUAAUAUCCUUCACUUAUAAAUAAUCCCUACAAAAAAAUCCUAAAACUACAAUUAAUCAUUUAUUCUAAUGCAAUGGCUGCCACACAUAACAAACUUUUAAACUCUCUCUCUAAAUCUCUCUCCUAUCUUCUCUUUCUUGCAUCUCGUAAUCUACUCUUUUUCAUAACCACCAUUUACACAACCAUCUAAAUAGAUACUUUCUCUUUUUUAUUUUCCUUUUUUUUGUAAGUAUUUUUGAAUUGAAAUUGCUAAACAAAAGUUACCAAAAUAGAUUUGUUGUCAAACUAAAUGAAAAUGAAAAGGAUGGUGGUGAUACAGAGUGCAGACAAGAAAAUAAAAGUGAUGGCUAAAAAAGGAACAUGGAUUGAGGAAGGUUACGCUUAUGCUAAUUGCGCAAAAAGAAUUUUAGGAUAUAAAAAUUGCAAUGAGAUUUGUCUAAAGGCAUGGAACGUGAUCUCCAGUGUUGCUUUUCAUUACUCUGUGUUGGUAUUUUUCAUGGGUUAGAUUAUUUUAGCAUCAACAAGAUUGUAACCAUUUGGAUUGAGUUUGAAUAGUAACAUUGGUCAAUUCAAAUGCUGAAUUUAGGCAAAAAAAAAUUUAAGCUAAAAAUUAGGUUGAGUGCAAACUUCAAGUGCCAUAGUUGAUUUACAUAGGAAGUUUUGAGGUGGCAAAGGUGGGCUGUCAAAAUUGUGAGAAUAGAGGGAUUAAAUUUUCUUUUUUUUUUUUAUGAUCCGAAACAUGUCUUGACUUGAUCCACUUUGGACCCACUCGAGCCAUUUUGGACCCGAGCCCACACACUAAAUCGAGGAGAUAUACCGCGGCCCCACAUGACGCACCCGAAGUAAGUCACGAGGGUUCAAAUCCAGGAUAAGAUUUGAACCCAAAACCAAGCGAGUCCUAAGAGUUUGCUUACCACUAAACUACCCCCAUGGGGGCUAGAAGGAAUUAAGUUUAGGUGAUUUAUUGAAUUCAUUAGAGUGGUAGUUAUGCCGUUUGCAAUAGUUGCCACAGGGAAGAAAUUCAUGAGUCAGUUUUUCUCCCCUUCUAACUAACAAAGGCGUAUGUUAGGGUUUUUUAGGACAAAUCUAACAUAUUGGGUCUAUAUUGUUAUUGAAAUCCUAGUGAUAGAGGAGGUAGAUGUAAUUUUUUAAACUAGAGGGGAGCUACCUACAAUAAUAAAAAAUCUCAGAGGAGGUUUCUGAAAUUAUCCCUAUUUUCUAUUCAACCAAACGUUUGUGCAUUUACCUAUAAGUCUCUAAAGUGGAUGAAAUUUCUCCUCGCAAGCCAAAGUUAUUGAGCUACAUGGAGAAACUACCCAACGUGCAAUCAAAGUAGAUCCUCAAAGUAUGCAGACAAGACAAGAUGCUCAGGCAACUAGCAAAGGAUCGAGCCCAAAGGAGAAAAGACCUUGGAUCCUUUUGUGAACAAUUUGGGUUACCCAAUUGUUACAAAAAACCUCACAAACGGCCCAAGCUUACAAAACAUCUUGAAAAAUCACCCAUAUACAAAAAGAAAUAUCAACCCAAACAACCUUUACCCAUACAGUUUUCUCAAACCCCAAACUCUUCUCCAGUUUGCAACAAAUGUCAUAAACCCGGGCAUAUAGCUCGUUAUUGUAAACUCAACCAAAGGAUUAGUACCUUGGAUUUAGAUGACCAGGUCAAAAUCCAAAUUUCAAACCUUCUAAUCGAUUCAGAAACUGAUUCUGAAAGAGAAGAAGAAGAUUAUCUCAACCAUUUGGAGGAUGAUAUUUCAACAUCUUCCUCCUCACAACCCAUCAGUGAUAAAGAAGAAGGAGGUCACACCAUCAAUGUUUUGACAAAAGAUCAAAACCUUCUUCUUGACAUCAUUGAAGAUACUCCUGAAAUAGAGAAAAGACAACUCUAUUUAGACAAAUUCAAAGAAUCCUUGAACCAAGCCACAAAUUCUUCAAAUCCUUUAGCUAGAGACCAUAGAAUUCUCAAAACCUACAAUCUUACAGAAAUUCUUGAUAGGUUUCCCUCCAAACCUGUUAAACCUUUAACUCUUUAACACCUCCAAACAGAGAUUGAGCUAAUUAAGGAAGAAAUUAGGUCAAUCAAAGCCAAACAAGACCUUAACAGCCUUGUUCUUCAAAACCAAACCCCAAGGGAACCUAUCAACCAAGAGGAUUCUAAGUUCCUAGAACAACUAUCUAAGAAACCAAAGAAAGACAAGGAUUAUUUGGUCCAGAUUCGAUUGCUAAUUAGCAAUAAUUAUGUGAUCGAAACUGAAGCUUUAUUUGAUACUGGAGCCGACCAAAAUUGUAUUCUUGAAAGCCUUAUUCCACCUCAAUUCUUUGAACAAAACAAUUAAAUUCUUAGAGGAGCUAAUGGAUCUAAACUUGAAAUUAAUUUCAAGUUAACUAAUGUCCAAAUCCAGUUUUCCUCCCUAUCCAUUCAAAAUACCUUUUUUUUAGCCAAAAAAUUAUCCAAUAAUGUUAUUCUUGGAAUACUCUUCAUUCGUAAACUUAUGUCUUACCUUACUACAAACAAGGGCAUAAUACCCCAACUUCUUGAUCCUAAUGCCCUCCUAUCUUUUUCUAAAAAACUAACAGAUUUUGUUUUGCAGGAAAAAUGACAAACUCAGCACCAGUCAACGAAUGGACACCUAGUUACCUUACUAAUAAUUCUAUUGCAAAAGAAUAUUAUUUCUACAAACAACAAUGCAGGGAAGACAGGAUAAGAUUCUACAAUGUUGUAUUCUACAACAUUGAAACUGGACAAAGCAUUCCUCCAUAUCUCCGAUACCAACAUGACAACAUUGUGGCGAAACCAACAAACAAUACAGUUCGCAGCUUCAAGGAUCAAAGCUUCAUGAGGCAAAGAAAAAUUCAGAGACUUACUCUUCACAAACAUUAGAUCAAACAUCAAGGAGGAAUACAAGCUCCUGAGAUUGACAAAAUGAUUCAGGAAACAAAACAAGAGAUAUCCACAACAAUCUGCUAAGAAUACAAACAUACAAGUUGGCUCAAACGGAACAAAAUUCAGAGAAAAAAAAUCAUUUUACUGUAGCACCGGAAGCACUAUAGCAAUCGGCAAGUUACUGUACAAACACGGCAACAAAAGACAAACGUUACACUGUAGCGUACUGUAGCGACACUGUAGCAAAUCACUGUAGCGGGUACUGUAGCACUACGGAAAGUUUUGCUAUAAAUACCCCUCAAACCCAACACCUUUCACAUACCAUUUCUUCAAGACAACUUCUCUCUCUAGUUUGAAGAAACUCUCCUCCCUCUCUCUACAAACAAGUUCUUAGUUUUUAUAUUUUAGUUUUUAGGAUCAAACAAAGGGGCUUGCACAAGCUUCAUAUCCUUGUAAGUUCUAGAUGGGUAGAGGGUUUAACCCCUUAAACCAGGAACUUAAAGAAUUAAGAGGAGGAAAGCAUAAAAGUUAGGAAGUGGGUCGCAGUCGGACUGCCACUUAGUUAGUAUAGGCGUUUGAACCAGUCAUGUAUGAAUAGAAUGUAAAUAAAAUGUAAGAACAAGUUAGGAUGUUUAAUUGGGAACCAUUGGCUCCUCGGAGGCUUUCUUUUGUUUUCUCAAAAAACUUUGUCGGGAUAAGACCUUCUUGGAUACAACUGAGAUUAGCUCCUGUGUCAAAUAAAGCUUCUGUUUCUGCAAUAUAAUUAUCAUUGAUAACUAGUUUUAUAAGAACAAAAUGUUUCUUGUAGAAUAUUAUGUUUGACUGAGAAGGUUUAUUAAUGAUUUCCUCUUCAGUGGCUGUUUUUUCAAUUGUUUUAAUUUCCUUAUUAAGAAUAGCAAUUUCUGUUUGAAGAUCUUUAACAGUGAUGGGUUUGGUACUAGGUUGAUCUUUAGUUAAGACAUUUAUUGUGGAAUAUCCUAUGUCUAAAGAAUUUCCUAUGUCUUUUCUAAUAUCAAGACUAGUAGUAUUAUUUUGUAAUAAUUGACUAGAAAUCAAAAGUUUUGGAGGUUUAAUAAACUCUUGGUUUGGUAAAUCUAUUGGGUUUAAUAGAUCCACAUGAGAAUCUGGUAGAUCUAUAUCUGUUGGAUUUAGAUGAAUAGAUUUUGAUGCAUCAGUGGAUUCUGAGUAUUUAUGAGAGGAUGUAUGGGUUGUUUGAGGCAGAUCUAUGGAUAGAUCUUCUGAUUUUGGCUUAGUUUGGACCUGAUCUAUGAGAUCUGGUGUAGGAACUUGUGUUUUUAUAGUGUUUGACAUAGAGGAUGCAGGUUUUGAUAUGGUUGUUUGGACUGGACUUGUGAGUUCUGGUGAGGAUGACUCCUGAGAUGUUUGGGACUCAUACCAAUCAAAGAAAUGAAUAUUUUAUUUUGUUUUUGUCAAAAAGUCAUAAAAGUUUUCUUGAAUUUUCUUUCAGGCUUCUCCCUGGUAUUUAUCAAAAAAUUGUUUUCUUUUAAAAUGAUUGUGGUUUGCAAAGAAUUCAAAUCUAAUGUUUUGUCCAUUAAUCUGGAAUUCAGAAGGUUUGUUUUCUAGUUUUCUUUGUAUAAGAAUCGAUUGCUCAAUUUGAGCAAUUCUAGUUUGAAGAUCAUUUAAAGGCUUGUUGUUUGAAGAAGAACUAGAAUUUACGAAAUAUGCUUUAACUGGAGAAGUCAGACCCUCGCUGUCUAGCUGCAUGGGAACUCUCUCUUUAGAGUGCAAAGGGCCGGACCGGACAGACAGACCAAGAGAAGACAUAAGAUCUUGGAGCUCUUUAAGGACAGCCAUACUGAGAGCUGCCCCCCUUAACAAUCCCCCAGGCGGUAGAGCACAGAAUCCUUCGGGAUCCAUGGAGGAUAAACUAUUUUUCUUAAUCAGAUUAUAAAGGAUAGUGUGAAACCUACAAGAAAAAAUCUAAUCUUUUGAGAAGAAUUAACUAUACAUGACGACCAUAUUUCCAUCAUAAUAAAGAUAGUAAAAUAAAUCUACAAGAAUAGAUCUAAAUCUUUUGAGAAAGAUUAACUAUGCAUGACGACCAUAUUUCCAAACAAAAUCAUAAGAUUGAUAGUAGUAACCCAUUUUCCCUGGAUCUGAUCUUGUGACACUUCCCCGUCCUAGAGCAUCACACCCUAAGAACUUCAACGCCCCUACAGAGCCAAAUCCCUCAUGGUCUUACCUUGACCGGACGUUGGCACUUACUGGAUCCAUGUCAUUCAAUCAGAUCUAAAGUCAUGAAAUCAAAACUAUCAAAAUUAUAAUAAACUUGAAUACAUUAGAUGGUAAUCACGAAAUUAACCAAUCUCAUCUAAUAAGAUCUAAACUUGUAGAUCUAUACUAUUAGUAGUAUAAAUAAAGAAAGAUGGUAAUCACGAAAUUAACAAAUCUCAUUAGGAAGAUAUAAUCUUGUAGAUCUACACUAACAACAUCAUAAUAAGUAAAGAAAGAUAGCCAUCACCCCACUUCCCCCUCUGGCUCUGAUACCAGACGGGUAGAGGGUUUAGCCCCUUAAACCAGGAACUUAAAGAAUUAAGAGGAGGAAAGCAUAAAAGUUAGGAAGUGGGUCGCAAUCGGACUGCCACUUAGUUAGUAUAGGCGGUUGAACCAGCCAUGUAUGAACAGAAUGUAAAUAAAAUGUAAGAACAAGUUAGGAUGUUUAAUUGGGAACCAUUGGCUCCUCGGAGGCUUUCUUUUGUUUUCUCAAAAAACCUUGUCGGGAUAAGACCUUCUUGGAUACAACUGAGAUUAGCUCUUGUGUCAAAUAAAACUUCUGUUUCUGCAAUAUAAUUAUAGAUGCGGUAGUAACUUUAAUAUUCACUAUUGCAAAAACAUUCGUUGGUGAUACAGGAAUAUUUAGGGAAAAAAAAUAUAUAUAUAUUGCAUUCAAGUCACAAUUUAAAUUUUACAAAGGAAAAGGAAAAUUAGAAAGAAAGGUUUAAGAGUUGGAUUAGGGAUACUUUAUGAUUACUUGACUCCCCAUGAACUAGAGUUAGGCCAAUGGAAAUUUCAACCAGUUUUGACUGGCUUCUUGAAUAUUCGUCAACACCUAUUUAUUAAUUAGGUUAAAAAACCCAAUAAAUAUUCGUUUAGUAAACCAGAAUCAGGAAAAGAAGAUAAAUUGAAAAAACACAUACAAAAAGCAAAAUUAAUGGAAACCAAGCAAACUAAAAGUGUUAGGCCACCUGUUUGAUAAUUUAAUUUAACACUUAAAUUUAAUAAAUUCAAAUCUUGAUAUAUUUAAAUGUAUUUGAUAACAAAAAAUAGAAAAUCUAGAUUAAUUGAGUGGCAGUGAAGUUUUUAGGCAAAUCUUGCUCCAAAAAAAAAAACAAAGUAAUAAGUUAUUCACUUAUAAUUUAAUGUAAUAUAUACUCAAAUGUAUUAAAUUUAAUAUUUAACAAUUUAGUAACUUAACAGAUUCAUAUUUUAAACUUUAGAUUUUAAAUUUUAUUUUUCAAACUUCAGUUUUAUCAAUUGUAAUUGUACAGCUUGAACAACUUAAGACCCAAUGUUGUACGGAUUGUAAUGGAAAGUGCACUUGCAUUUAUGUAAAGUAACUCAUAUGACGGUUACGUGAAAUUUAGAAGACAUUUGACAGUAUGUGCCUCUCGAUUUGAUCUGCACUUAACAGCGAUUGCAAAGACCUCGAUUGCAUAUUAACUUAAUGUGUAAUAGAUUAUCACCAAUUAUCACUUUGUCAGCUACCAUUAAUCAUAGUGGAAUUCUCCACUCACUCUCAGAUUCAGAGUUCGAAUUCUGAAUCUAAUAAUUCGAGAGUAGGAAAGGUUUAAGGAGGGAAUGAAAGGUUAAAACAAAAAACUGUAAUGAAAUUGUCGUUGUUUAAAAGAUAUAUGUAUCCCUCUAUGUUAACUAAACAUAAUAGUUAUUUAUUCAAGAAAUACCUUUGAUGCAUAAUGCGACGACGUAUGAUAAACUUUUCAUUCCAAAUUGAACACAUUAAAUUAUUGAAUUAGUUUUCUUUACACUGACAGUAUAUACAUUAUCAUCAUUAGAUGUAUCACAAAAAGUUUGGAUUAGUUUUCUUGCUAAUUAUCUUUUUUUGUUUAAUGUCCUUAAUCCAGUUUGUUUUCGACUAGUUUUUUUUUUCAUUUUUUUUCAUUUGUAAGGGAAACAUUUUGAACCCAGAUUCUCUUAUUUACAAUUCUUCCUUUUUUACUACCGAACAACCCUCUCCCAACUGGUUGAUUACUUCUAGGUUUACAAACAUGACUUGAGACUAAUGUCCUAUUUGAUAACCCAAUUCAGAACUUAAAUUUAAUAGAUUCAAAUCUUAAUAUGUUCAGAUACGUUUAAUAACUAAAAAUUGAACAUUUGAAUUAAUUAAAUGGCACUGAAUUUUUUAUAUAAAACUUGCUCCAAAAAAUAAGUGAUAAAUUAUUCACUUAUCACUAAAUGUGAUAUACACUCAAAUGUAUUAAAUUUAACACUUAAUAAUUGAAUAACUUAAUAUAUUCAAAUUUCAAAUUUGAAUUUUAUCAAGCAAACCCUCAGCCCCAACAACUUAAUGGCAAAAACAAAAGAGAACUCCACAAUAUUUUCAAACCUUCUAUAUAGUAAAUCGAGUAUCGGAAAGUUUGAUUUAUAAUUCAGCCCUGACGCUGAUACAGGCCACACCAAAGUUUGAUUGUAUUGAAAAGUGCUUUUACUCCCUCCGUCCCAAAAUUUGGGACGUUUUUCGGGAAUAGCACUUUUUAUGCACAGUAAAAUGGUGGACUGUACUUUUCAUAUUCUUCCAGUUUUACCCCUUGUCUAUCACACGAAAAUAGCCAGCCAAAAGCAAAAAGUCACAAGAAUGGUGAGAGUGUGCAUGUGUUGUGGUGGGCCAUAUGUAAUUGUUUAUUAUUAGUUGAUGGAAUCUUGUCAUUAUUACUAAGGGUAUAAAAGGAAAGUAGUAGUGAAAGUUGUUUGACUUUUGCCAUGAGACUCUUAUUUUGGGACAACAAAAAAGUGAAAACAUGACAUUAACAAUGGGACGGAGGGAGUAUAUGGUAUAAGAAUAUAUAUAUAUAUAUAUAUUCAUUUUUGGCACUUAGCUGGCAGUUCUGAGCACCUUUAUUAUCCUUUGAAGUCGUGAGUACUUUUACAGCAUCUUCCGCAACACUUUCACAACUUUUCACACAGCAUUCGAAUGUAUUCCACCUACUUCAAUUAAUUACUUAAGCGACAGAUGCACACAAAUUAAGAAUAAUGAAAAAGUUAACGAAUAUAAUGAGCUGGCUACGUAACAAACAUAAUUGCACCUAGUUUAAUAUUUGUGUGCUGCCAUAACAAAAAUUUUUUUUUUUCGUUUGUCACCCGAAAUCCUUACUUUAAUUUUAAAAUGUUAGGAUUGGUUUUGAGCAAACGAUACUACUAUUAGAUUAAUUAUCUUCCUGCCACAGCGAAUUUUAUUUAAAUGCUAAAAUUACUCUCAGUCAAUCAACUCUAUAUAUAUAUUGAUUUUCCUAGAUGUUUUAGUGCAGGAGAUGAAAUACCCGUGAAAUUAAAAUUUUAUGUAGAGAGUACCAAAAGCUUCUAGGAAAAUACGUAGUGCAGAACUGAAAACUGAAAAGUUGGUGAAAAAAAUAUGCUUCUUAAGGGGUAGGACUGUCAAUUACUCCCUGUCGGGCCGGUCUCAGCCCGCUUGACGAAAAGUUAGGCUGAUAACGGGCUGGACAUAGCUGGGGCCCAUCCGACGUAGUUGUCAAUUGAGUUUGACCCUUAGUAGGUUUUACUCAGACAAAAGCUCAGCUUGAACAAUUUUACACAUAAUAUACUUUAUCGAUAAUAUAUUAUAUACUUUAUAGAUAAUAUAUUAUAUAAUAGAAAAUAUAUUUAAUUAUAUUUUAUAAUAUACUUUAUAAAUCAUAUAUUAUAUAAUUGUGCGUGCUUUAUAAGUAUAUACUUUAUAAAUCAUAUAUAAUUAUCUAAUAACAUAGAUUGUAUAUUAUAUAAUUAUGGAUUACUUGUGAGUUUGGAUCAAACCCAAACUAGGCUCCAAGUUUUAAUAUUUUGUGAGUCGAGUAAGAGUCUAACAAAUUGAGCUUCUACAUUUUUGUGAAUCAAACUUAGGCUUGUCAAAGUCCAGCUUAGAAUGCCUAAUUAACAACCCUACUUAGAGGGUCACGAGCCUCAAUCUCCAGAACAAAUCGUGGCGCAACUGGAUUAUGAUGUAUCAGAUGCUUGUCAUUUCGCAUAAAAAGUCCCCAUGGCGUUGGAUGUGGAUAACAAUAAGGUUAAGUGCAAAUUUGUGGCAUUACAAAAACCUGCUACAUGAUUGGUUUUCUUUGUGUCUUUUUUAUAAUAAAAUCUGUAAAAAUAUGCAGAUUAUAAUUAUUUUACUUGACUUUCUGUAUUGCAUGUAGGGUUGACACCACGGGCAGAGUAAUGGGGCGGGGGAGUGGUGGGGUGGAGUGAUUUUUCUCCCCCCUCCCCCAAUUUUAAAUGGGGCAGGGAUAGGGGACGAUACCCCCGUCUCAUCCCUGUCCUGUCCCCUGCUUAAACAUAUCAAUACAAAUAAAUAUAAUAUAAUACAUAAUCUAAUAAUAGUAAACCUAAAAUAUUAAUUAGUUGUGUACGUGCCUAUUACUUAGGAUGUUGGUUAUCUCUAUUUUUUGUUUUAUUUUGUUCUAUGUUAUAUUAGAAUGAAGGUUUGACAUUUUUUUUUCAGGAUGUUUCUUGAUUUUUUUAAAAAUAACCGUCAUUGUAAAGAAAGAAUCAGAUUGUGAAAUAGAGGUGUUUAGACAAUGACUUAGAAACUCCAAAUUCAUAGUUCAAAUUUGGCAUAGGCAUAUUGUGGCCUGCAUCCACCCUGGGUUAACUAAUCCGGUAGCAAGCGCCUCUUCAGGCUAUGCUUGCCAGGUUUCGAGUUUUGUCUGGAGCUACGGUAUUCGAGAGGAUAGGAUCUUCCCUCUCGGGCCACAGGAGAAUUAGUCGGGCCGAAGGCGCGAAUACCCCCUGUGUCAAAAAAAAAAUAUUGUGGCCUGCAUGAGCAUUCCCAAGGAUGAUUUAUACAAUCUAAUUAAGCUUUCUAAUUUUCUUGUGCUACAUAUUUAUUGUCCAUUUUUUCCUUUUCCGACUUUUUAGCUCUCUUUUCUAUUUUGUUCAUCGAAUUUAGCCUUGAGCUAUUGGAGAGGGGUUUGGGAGUUAGGAUAUGUUUAACUCUUUCAAGGUGGAAUAAGUUCAUCUCAAUUUAGAAAAAUAAAAUUAGAUCAAAUUGCCACUUGCUGACACCCAUUGCGGGAGUGGGGCGAGGAAUAGAGCGGAGGCAGGGGUAGAGGCUGGGGAGAGUUUUUUGGCAAUAGGGUGCCUCCCUCCACUUGGGAUUCUCGGUGACAUGUUUUCUAUGCCAAUUCAAUGCCACCUAUAAUAUUGUGACAAGUGUCCUGUUAUUAUUUACACUUGUGUUAAACCAAACCAAGUUGAAUUAUUAAAAAAUUAAAGUGUAAAUAAUAAUGGGACACUUGGCGCAAUACUAUAGGUGGCAUUGGAUUGGCAUAGAAAAACAUAUCACCGAGGAUUCCAAGUGCCCUGCUAGUCCACUUAAGAUCCUCGGUGACAUGUUUUCUAUACCAACCCAAUGCCACAAAUAGUGUUGCGUCAAGUGUCAUGUUACUAUUUAAACUUAUAUUAAACCAAGCCAAGUUAAAUUAUUAGAAAAUUAAAGUGUAAAUAAUAACAAGACACUUGGCACAACACUAUUUGUGGCAUUGGGUUGGCAUAGAAAACAUGUCACCGAAAAUCUCAAGUGCUAAUACAGUCCAUUAAUUUGAGAAUUGUGGAAGACAGGAGUGAACUGUCAUGUCAAACCACCCUACAUUAUUCUGUGUCUCAAUCUCUUCAAAUUUUUCUUAUAUGAGCAAAAUAUUCGCUGUUUUAUUAGCCAAUGUUCACUAUGUUAACAUAUUGACUGGUCGAUUUCAAGCAAGAAUUCCCUAGAAGGCUCUAAUUUGCACAAAGAUGCCCAUAUUGCCGACUUUUUACGCCCUAUAUUUUGAGACAAGUACUAAAAAGAUGAUGUUAGACUUCCUUGGUUACUUCUUUGGCUGAAGAUUGCUUUUGUAUCAAAAAAAAAAAAAGAUUGCUUUAUAUUGCAUCAAAGAAAUUUCAUAUAAACUUCAAAGAUGAUGUGGUUAGACUUGUCAUUGCAUAUGUUAUUCUUGCUUUAUCAAUUGGAUUCUGCAACAAGUACGACGAACUGUCUUUAGUUUGUGUAAGGAUGAAGACAAAGGAGAGAGCACACACCAUUUAUGGCUGGGAAUUCCGAGUGUUUUUUACCAUUACAUGCCAAUGACAAGAGGACAGAAUAGUUCCUUCAAAUUCAAGAGUUCAUCUUCUAUCAGAUAAAAAGUGAAGAAAUUUGUAUAUCGCACAUAGUGCCAUAAGCAAAAGAUACGCCUUUUGUGAUGCACAAGGAAUUUGAUCCCACCUCAAUGAUGUCUGCCCACGUUCUUGAAAAAGUUGCCUUCCCCUUUUUAUUGUAGCUUGUAGAAUUUCCUAUAUAAAUCCUAAAACCAUGCAAGUUAGUUCAGUGAUCAAAGGGAAAAUUUUGACAGACGGACAAAAAUUUUGUCUGGAAAGUGGCAAUGGAGAAGACUGAGAACCAGGCUACUAGUAAUGGACCCAACUAUAGAGGAAUCAAGGCUAUGCCUUUUGUCAUAGGUAUGUUUCUACACACACAUGCUGAUACAAAAGGUUAUGUUUCUUUCAUUAAGUAUUCUUCAUGAUAAACAUAUAGUUUCUGUAAAAUGAUAAUCAUCUCAUCCCAGUCAUUCUUGAAUUUCUGUAAAUGUUACGAGCUUUAAGCAGAAAAACAACUAGUUCCCAACAGAAAACGCUUUUUCUGACAACUGAAUGCUGAAAGAACAAGCAGUCAGCCACAGACCGUGAAUACGACCAAUUUGUUGCAUACUGAAUAAUCACAAAUGUUCAGGUGGCACAGAGUACGUUGUUGUCUGGACUUAGAGUAAAAUUAUGGGACAAACAGAAGAUCAUAUUCUAGAAAACAGAGGAGGCUUUCAAAUGGAGGGCUAGCCACCAGAGUGCCUCCAAUAUUUACUGGCUAUAAGAAAUAGGAAGGCUGUUAAUCAGCGUUUUUGCCUCAGUCAAAGACUGCAACUCUUUCCAUAAGGGCCUGAAAAGGAGUCAUGCUUCUUAUUCAGGAAUAACAUUGUUGUAAUGAAAAUUUUGCAGGGAACGAAACCUUUGAGAAACUGGGAACAAUCGGUACCUCAUCAAACCUCUUGGUUUACCUGACAAGUGUUUUCAAUCUGAAGUCCAUUACGGCGACGAAUAUCAUCAACGUCUUCAAUGGAACUUGCAAUUUCGGUACCUUGCUUGGAGCCUUCCUGUCUGAUACUUACUUUGGUCGUUACAAAACCUUGGGAUUUGCUUCAGUAUCCUCCUUUUCGGUAUGAAAAUUUGCAGUGCUAUAUCUUCUUGGUCAUAUCACUGCUUCAAACUCAACUUCAUUCAUCUAAUUAGUAAUAGUUGAAUGCAAAUCUAAUUCUUGGUAUCUUUCGAGUUCUAAUUGCAGGGUAUGCUUGUGUUAACUCUAACAGCAGCCAUUUCAAAGCUGCAUCCGCCUCAAUGUGGAAGUGGAGGUGAAGAGGCAGGCAGAUGCUUCGGUCCAACACCUUGGCAAAUGGCAUUUCUGUUUAGUGGCUUUGGAUUACUAGUUGUGGGUGCUUCUGGCAUUAGGCCUUGUAAUUUGCCAUUUGGGGCUGACCAAUUUAAUCCUAAUACAGAGUCAGGGAAAAGAGGAAUUAGCAGCUUUUUCAACUGGUAUUAUUGCACUUAUACAUUUGCAGUCAUGAUUUCAUUGACCACGAUUGUUUACGUGCAAUCCAAUGUGAGCUGGUCUCUAGGGUUGGCUAUUCCAACAAUUCUUAUGUUCUUAUCCUGUGCGGUUUUCUUUGCGGGAACAAGAAUAUAUGUGAAAGUGAUACCAAUGGGGAGUCCUUUAACUAGCAUUUCACAAGUUAUUGUAGCUGCAUUCAAGAAGAGACAAGUUGAGUUGCCAAAGCAACCGUGGAUCUCACUUUUCAACCAUGUUCCUUCCAAUUCCAUAAACUCUAGAAUCGCUUACACCAAGCAAUUCAGGUACUAUGCUUGCAAGAAUCACAUCAGUAUUCUGAAUUCAUUUUGUAUGUAUUGUUCGCACCUGUAAUUGUCUUCCAAUAAUAAGUGGUGGUCAUGUUCAGGUUUUUAAACAAAGCAGCUGUUAUAACAUCAAAUGACUCGAUCAAAGCAGAUGGAUCAACAGCAGAUCCAUGGAAACUUUGCAGUAUCCAGCAAGUUGAAGAAGUAAAAUGUGUAGUACGACUAAUUCCAAUGUGGGCUGUUGGAUUAAUCUACUAUGUUUCUGUAGUCCAACAACAGAACUAUGCAGUCUUCCAAGCCCUUCAAUCUGAUAGACGGCUAGGAAAGAGCAAUUUCCACAUCCCAGCUGCUUCAUACAUCAUCUUUGCUAUGUUGGCCAUUACAAUUUGGCUUCCCAUAUAUGACAGGAUUUUAGUUCCAUGGCUCGGAAGACUAACAGGGAAAGAAGAUGGAUUGACGCUCCUCCAGAAAGUCGGAAUAGGCCUGAUAAUAUCCGUUUUUGCCUUGCUCAUUUCAGGCUUCAUUGAGGACAGAAGGAGGAUCAUAGCUCUCACAGAACCAACACUGGGAUCAGUUCCUGGCAAAGGUGCAAUUUCUUCAAUGUCAGCAAUGUGGUUAAUUCCUCAAUUUGCACUAUCAGGACUUUCUGAAGCAUUCGCCCUGAUUGGUCAAAAUGAACUUUUCUACAAGCAAUUCCCUGAAAAUAUGAGGUGCUUUGCUUCAGCAUUCUUGUUUGUGGGCUUCGCAGGGUCCAGCUAUUUGAGUAGCUUCUUUUCAUCAAUGAUUCACAGGACAACAGAAUGGUUGGGAGAUGAUCUUAACAAGGGGAGAUUGGAUUACUUCUAUUACUUGAUUGCAGCUCUAGAAAUGUUUAACUUUGUCUAUUUUCUUAUUUGUGCACAGUGGUACAAGUAUAAAGGAUCAGACAGCAAUCCUGGUGAGAUGACCCUAGAAAUGAACCAUAAUAAUCAACAUGAACAAAUUCCUGCAGUCUGAUGAAAAUGCCAUAAUAUUUUUUCUUAAAGCAUGGAAUGCCUCACAGGCUGUGGGAACAAGGACUAAGGCUUCAGUCAGUUGUACGUAAGUUUAGUCAGUUGAACAAGAAUUGCAUAAGUUUAGUGAAGAUUUACUGUUUCAAAGAAGAAAUUAAGAGCAAACUUAACUUUUCUUAGUUAUGUCCACUCAAAGCUUUGAUUGCAUUUCGUUGUCUUAAUUUUCUGCAUAUAUCCUUGGCUUGGUUCCUUUAGGAUUCUACUAAUUUAGCAAGAAAAUAAAGAACUGCAGCAGAUGAUGUGCAUCUCCUAGUGAGGCCAUUUUCCUUCUUGAUUUCUCAAAAAUCACGAGCAGUAAAAUUAAUCGUUCAAAAAAUAAUUGAUACUUCACAGCACCAAAGAGGAGAAAUUUUGUCGAGUGACAACAUUGACAGCACAAUAUUAAGGUUAAUUACCAGUGACAUGAUGUUCCUCGUUCAUGGCCAACAGGUAUAUAUUCUGUAUCGAAGCCUCUUUCUAAAACAAGUAAUUAUAAUAAGUUUUUUCCAUUAGGUGACAAAAUAAGCAUAUUAAAAAAAAUGCAAAGUGGAUAAAUUAUUAAUGCUUUAAAAUUGUCACCAACCUCUGAAUUACAAUACUUUUGAACAAGAAAUUUAUCACAUUGGACCUCACCUUAUUUGGUGCAUAAACCCCUGUAAUAAUAAGAGUUAAUCUUACAUAUACUGACAGCAUAUAUACUGUUACCACUAAAGGUACGAAACAUUUGCAAAAUUUAGAUUUCAAAUUUAAAUUCAAAUUAAUUGUCAUACAUCUAAUAGUGAUAAUGUUUACGCUACCGGUGUAUACAUUAUCAAUCAUAAUAAUACUGUACUAGUUACUGAGUAAAGAUUAUAUAUAUGAUCCAAUAAAUAAUACAGCCAUGCGCAAUAAAAAACUAAACAUCAAAUCAGGUUGGUAUCUAAUGAGGUGGAAGAUGCUGGAAUCAAAUAGAACAAUAAUGUAUAGACAAACUACUUUCCUGGUUAGAGCGCCAUACUAUUGGUUGAAUAUGAACUGUUUAAUAAACGUAUGAUUUUAAAUUAUGGGAGAAAAGAAAGGAUAAGAAAAGAAGCGCAAAGGUUUUAAUAUUGUUUGAAAAUUUGUAGAAGAAAUUAGACGAUUUUGGGGAUGAUUUUGUGAUUUUGGGAGUUUAUGAUUUUAAUUUUUUCUUUUUUGGGAAGGGUUGGGUUAGGUCAUAGGUGAUGAGACGAGAGAGAUUAUAAGUAGAAGGUCUUGAUUUUAAAACAUUCCACUUUUAAAAAAAAAAAGUUUAGAAGUCAUUCAAAAAGAUUUUAUAAAGGACAAAGUUGGUAUUUUGAAAAAAUUAUACAAAGCUUUGUUCAAAUUUCCAUCCAAAUCUAGCCAUAAAUUAGGGCAGAAAACAUUUUGGCUAUGGGAGGGAAAGAAAUCUGUCCAAUGUCUUUUAUUUUCUUUCCCACGGUUUCUCCCAAACAACAGAAAUUUAAAAGUAUCCAUCGAAAGCUUUUCUUUUCUUCUCUUCUUUUUUUCUUGCUUACAAAACGCACUGUUCAUACACAGUAUUAAUUGUUAAGUUGUUAUAAAUUAACCAUUUUUUAUACGUUUAACCUUAAUGUUUGUCUUACAAUUAAUUAGCAUAUUAAAUUUUGUGAAAUAGCAUUUUGAGUUCUUUUUAUAUUAAUUUUUGUGUAAAAAAAUAAAAAUUAUAGAACACAAAAAAGUUCCCAUGCAAAUGCAUGGGAAAGAAACUUGUUUAUUCAAUAUUUUACUGUCACUCUUUUUUCUCAAUAUCCCAUCAAACAUGUAGCCUAUACUAGCACAAGGAUUUGUUCACGUGGUAAUUUUGAACCAAAAAGUAAGAGCCUUAAUAGCAUAAUGCCUAAGAUUUAAAUCCCAUCAUGAAGAAAUAUUUUUUUUUCUGCGCCUCCAAUACAACGCUAGCUGAGGUCAAAUGCACAGAUUUUGUUUGCUACUUAUAGUCGAUUAAUUACGACUGUGCCCCUCCUAUACAAGAAAAGAAAAAAACAGAAACAGAAAAAAUAGGGAAAGUGGAGGAAUCAGCGUGGACUUUGAGACAUACGCCAAGACAGUUUAAGCAAAAUAUGAAAAAAAAAAAAAGAUUAAUAUUUCCUACACUGAUAGUAUAUAUAUUAUCAGCGUUGAAUGAAUGACAACUAUAUAAAUCUUGAAUUUGAAAUUCAAUUUUUGUAUACAUGUUAUGAAUCUAAUAAUAAUAGUGUGUCAGUGUACGGAGCAUGAAGCCGUUGUGUUGUGCCUUCCCUACAAUUUGGCGUGAAAGAAAAUUGAAAGAUGAGGGGACCUUCUCUAAUUUUACACGAUAAAACUUCAAGUUUUGCAAUUCAAACAAUAUUCUUCUUUCUCUAUCUCUCUCUUUUUUUUUCCUUUUUUUGUUAUUUGUUUUUGGGGGGGGGGGGGGGGGGGGGGGUGGGGUGUUUGUGUAGUUGGGAGAGGUGGACAGAAAAGGUUGGAGGAAAAUCAUAAGAAUCAAGUGACUAAUUUCCUUUAUUUAUCCUUGGUCCCCAUUUCAUGCUUCCAAAAAUAGGCCAGAAGAACAACUUUUGGAAAAGGGUCCUUGUCUAAUUCACUAAAUUCUUCCAAUUCAUAUUCGGAAUAUCCACCAUUGUACUGUUGAUUUUCAUACGAAAGUCCGCCAACCAUUCGUUCAUUUAUAGUCAACCAUUCCAUCAGAAACGAUCAAACCUCUUUUGAAAGCUUGCCUUCAGGCAUCAAUUUCCGGGAUACAUCUACAUGAAGGGAAGGGGUACUUUAAACAUGUGUUGAUGAAAGUUCACAAAUGAAUCUACAAUAUUGUGAAUAUCUAAAGCAAACUAUUGGAACUUAGAUAAAAAGGUUAACAAACAAGGGCCAAAUUUAGACAAAAAGAUUAACAAAAAAAAAAAAGACCUCAUGGAAGCAGUCCCAUGCUCGAGAACUAUGCCUUCUUAAAGUUGCCAUAAAACCGCAAAUUCGAUCGACAUGAAACCACUUAGCUUACAUGAAUUGGCACUCGUAUCUCAUUUUCAUGGAUAAGGUUUUCCAAUUAACGGUAAAAAUGAUGAGGCUUUACGGCCAGAAUGAGAAGAUUUGAUGACAAUAAUAUACCCUGCACACUUGCGUGUGUCAGAUUAAAUCAAAACAAUGUUUACAUUUUACUUGCUGAAAGAAGGUAGACAACAAAUAUAACACGUCUCGGAAACCAAUGUCGGCAUCAAAUAUAGGAAAAAGUUUUUUUUUUUUUUUUUUUUUUUUUAUGGGAUAGCACUAGCAAGUUGUUAUAGCGACCUAGACCGACCAAAGAGGUAUAGAUGUUCUCUGGUGUGUUAGACGUAAUGAACCUUGCAUCUCUGUCCUAGCACAACAAUACCAGGGUUUCAUGUCCUCAUGAGUCAUGGUAGCCAAACUCGAAUUAUCCUUGGAAAGAAGAACCGUCCAAGAAUCUCCAUGUCUUCUUAUUCAUUUAUUUAUAUAUUUAGGACAAGAUAAUCACCUCAACCAUUAAUUAAUUGAUUAGUUUGUUCCAUUGAUAUUGAUGUCCACUCUCAAGUAGAGUCUCAAUGAUUGAUGCUUUCGUGGACAGAUGUUUUUCCACCGAUUGAGACGUCAAAAUGGUAGGAAGAGGCUGGAAGAGGCUACCGAUAGUUUGAAGUUGGCAAGUUGACUGUCCUAACCGGCCUGCAUUGAAUAUAGAAGAAUCCAUGAAAUGAUUUAUGGGAAUAUAACUAAACAACAUAGAGCAAAAACAUAUUGCUCCAUAAUUUUAUCAUAAAUAAACUCUUAAAUUUGGAUGUUUGCCUUCUAGGGUGUUUCAAGGAAUAAAUAUAAUUAUGCAGUUUUAUAGAAGAAUAUGUACGUGAGGUAAAAAGGUAAUCAGAGAAUGUGUUUAAAUUUUUCUAAAACAUGUUUUCUAAACGCAUGAGCAAUUGAGGCUAUGAUCUCCUUAAAUAGGGUACUUCUAGGAUGAAGAAACCAGUUCCUGGAACAAGUUCAUAAAUACUUUAGUUGACCAUUCCCCUUACUAGCUUGUAUGCUCGGUCUGUAUACACACUAUUGAGAAACAUACAUAAACUUGAAAUUAAGCACCUGCCUUUAGAGCUGAGAGCAAUGAAGAAUCAUGGACAGAAACAGAAAGACACAAAGCAUGAGCCAAAUUAUCAAGGAAUCAAGGCUAUGCCCUUUGUCGUAGGUACAUCAAUUUGAUGCUUAAUCGUUCUGAUACAAAUAACUGCAUUUGUUGGGUAGUAGAAGCAUGACAGUUUUAACAAUAUUCUACCAUGCAGGAAAUGAGGCUUUUGAGAAGCUUGGAACAAUUGGAUCCUCAUCCAAUCUCUUGGUUUAUCUGACUUCUAUUUUCCAUAUGAAGACCAUCACUGCCACCAACGUCAUCAACAUCUUCAAUGGCACUUGCAACUUAGGUACUCUGGUUGGAGCUUUCCUUUGUGACACUUACUUCGGUCGCUACAACUUGCUGGGCUUUGCUUCAGUUUCCUCUUUCUUGGUGAGCAACUGAGCAUUAUUCUUAACAGUUACAGCUGAGGAGACCGUGGCCUAGUGAUUAAGGUUAAGAACUCAGAAUUUGAAAGUUUUAGGUUUUAAUCUCUCUUUCCCCUCCCCACUUCUUAAAGCCCAUUCAUCUCCCUGCUCUAAGGGGAAAAAAAAUCUUAACAGUUAGUAUAAAUUUAGCCCCUUUUACCAUGCUUAAGAGUACAACUUCAUGUACUGAAAAGAAUUUUUUUUAUCCUAAUAUUAGAGUAUGCAGUAAGUAAGAAUAUUGAUGAUUUUUUGUUAAUGACCCUUGUGGUGCAGGGAAUGCUUAUGCUUACACUAACGGCAGCAGUCUCCAAGCUGCACCCUCCGGCGUGCGGCGAAGGAAGCGGAUGUGCUGGUCCAUCACCGGGGCAGCUAAUAUUUCUGAUAAGCUGUCUGCUGCUCCUAGUGCUAGGGGCUAGUGGGAUAAGGCCAUGCAAUUUGGCCUUUGGAGCUGAUCAAUUCAAUCCAAAUACAGAAUCAGGGAGAAGGGGGAUCACCAGUUUCUUCAAUUGGUACUAUUUGACCUAUACUUUUGCCAUGAUGGUGUCUCUAACAAUAAUAGUUUAUAUUCAAUCGAAUGUGAGCUGGUCGAUUGGAUUCGCCAUUCCAGCAGUUUUGAUGUUUUUAUCGUGUGCAUUCUUCUUCUUGGGUACGAGGAUAUAUGUCUGUGUAUUGCCAGAGGGAAGUCCAAUGUCUAGCGUGGCUCAAGUUGUAGUUGCUGCAAUCAAGAAAAGGAAAUUGAAGCAGCCAGACGAUCCUAAGGUGUCUCUUUUUAACAGUUUUUCUACUGCCAGUUCUAUCAAUUCAAGGCUUCCUUAUACGGACCAGUUCAGGUAAUCAUGAUAUAUAAACUUUGUGCAGAAAAAAUCUCUCUCAAGGACAGUGGUCAAUUGUUCAGUCCAAAAGAGUAAAAUUCUCGUGCACUAGAUUUAGUUUUCGUAGUACUGUAGUUAACAAUAAAGAUCACUUUUUGUCACAUCAGAUUUCUCGACAAAGCUGCAAUCAUAACCCCUGAAGACGAAAUAAAUUCGGACGGAUCACCAGCAAAUCCAUGGAGACUCUGCAAUGUUCAGCAAGUAGAGCGAGUUAAAUGCAUAUUGAGGGUAAUUCCCAUAUGGGUAGCAUGCAUCGUCUACUUCAUUUCAGUAGUUCAAAUCCAGAACUACGUUGUUUUUGAAGCCCUUCAAGCAGACAGGCGUUUUGGCACCAGCGAAUUCAAGAUUCCUGCAGCUUCUUACAUCGUUGUAGCCAUGCUAGCCCUCACCAUCUGGGUCCCGAUUUACGACAGAUUAAUAGUUCCAUGGCUGAGGAGGGUUACUGGAAAAGAAGAUGGCCUAACCAUCCUGCAAAGAAUUGGAAUUGGAUUUGCAUUUUCUGUUGUGACUAUGAUCGUUUCAGGCUUGGUGGAGAGCAAAAGAAGAAGCAUCGCCCUCUCUAAGCCAACAAUCGGGUUUGAACCGAAAAAAGGUGCCAUUUCUUCCAUGUCAGGUUUAUGGCUAUCUCUGCCAUUGGUUUUGUCUGGGAUUUCAGAAGGAUUCGCCAUCAUAGGAGAAAAUGAAUUUUUCUACAAGCAAUUCCCUGAGAGCAUGAGGAGCAUUGGGAUGGCUUUCAUAUUUGUUGGCACUGCAGUAGCGAGUUAUUUGAGUAGUUUGAUAUCAUCAAUUAUUCAAAGCAUAACAGGCAGGAGUCAUGGAGAAAGCUGGUUAGCUGAAGAUCUCAACAAGGGAAGAUUGGAUUACUAUUAUUACUUGAUAGGAAUUUUGCAGUUCUUGAAUUUGAUUUAUUUUCUAGUCUGUGCGAGGUGGUACAAGUACAAAGAGGCAGAGGACGUUUCUGAAGUGGCCGUGGUGAAAUUGCAGUCUGAAGAGAAAGAAAUUGUUUGAGAUUUUUAAAUGAUUUUAUACAUGGAUCCAAUUUUCAUUCAUGAUUGGGAGAAGGCAAACUAAUCAUUUGGCUUGAAUUUUAACAUGUGAAAAUUGAGUAGUAAUUUCAAUUGCAAUGUGUACAUGAGGUCAUAGCUUAUUCAACAUGAGUGCUACAAUAUAAUGAGCCUUGACAUUCCAAUCAUUGCAUACUUUAAGGUUUUUUUUUUAUGUGAAAUUAUACUUAUGGAAGGAUUAUAUUGUAUACAAAUUUGAAAAUAUUCACCUGAAUUGGAGAUUUAUUUUUCCAAUUAUUAGUUUAAAUGCAUUAUGCGUCAAUGGAUAGAUAUAUAAUAUCAUGAAGAUAUAGUAUACAAGUUUUAAUAUUUGCACAUCCUAAAGAAGUUGAGACUAUGCUCAAUUCAAGCAUGUUUAAUGAGCCAAAGUGCAGUAUGAAAUGAAUUAAGUUAUUUACUCAAUUUUGGGUGAAUUGCACUCAAUUCCCUGCAUUUAUAAAUUUUCUCACUUUGCCCCCCACAAUUUUGUUGAUCAACCCUUUAACCACACCUUUUGAUUGAAAUUGUAGAGAUUGUGUGUAUUUGAAAAUUUUUUUUUUUGAGGUGUUUUUAGAGUAUUUUACUGCACCCUCUGAAAACAAAAACAAGUUUACGAAAAACUCCACAAUAUUGUAUUUUUGGUCAAAAGAUUAUUCAAUUAACAUUUUCGUCCAAAUAUAGAUAUAGGCAUGCUACUGCUAGGAUUGUUUGCAAUUGCUUAAAACCAGUUGCAUAGCUUUUGUUUAAGCGAAAAAUAUCUUGACUUGUUUUCAAUCACUUUUUCCUUUUGCAAUUAGAAACAGCUUUGCCUAUUUAAACAUGAAAGAAAAGAAUUGUCAUUUUUUAUCAAUUACAGAAAUGAGGGGAAAACUAUUUAAAAAAAAAAAGGCUUUAUAGAAGUAGUCAACGGAGUUAUAAAUUAGGCCUAGUUUGGGAGAUUAUGCAAGAAAGGGAAAAUAUAUAACAAUUCAAAAAAAAAAAAAGUGAGGGUUGGAAAAUCCUAUAAUAUCUUUCUCAUCGUCAUUGGAGUUUCAGAUUCGUAAAGGAUGAUGUUUGACUGACGCUAUUGUUAUCAUCUUUUAUUCCAACUUUUUUGGGAAAAAUGUAGUGUAUGGGAAUUUUAUAAAGCUUCCUUUUUCUGCCUACAAAAAUUUUACAAAUUGACUGCUCCCCCUUGUCUAUUAUUUCCCAUAUUCCUCUACCCAUUUCUCAUAACAAGUCAACGUGGAGGGAAGAUUUGAAAAGGCCCAAAGACGACGCGGAUAAAAAGUCAACGUUGUUGAGGGAGGAUUUGAAAAGGCUCAAGAAUAAUGCGGAGGGAUUGAAUACCAUCGAAUUAAACGGAUGCCUACCACCCGCUGACUGACGACACAUCAUUCUAUCAUUGCCGUGAUCAUUCAUAACUCCCAAAAGUAUACAGAGACGAACCCACCAGAUGCUUUAAGCCAAGAAGAAAGACAUAGUGGCGUUGAAUCACAUAGUGGCAAUGGACCAUAAUCUCUAUCAAUAGGCACUGCGAAUGGAAAGCAAGUCAACGAGAUAUCAAUGGAGCCAUAAUACCUGCCGACCCCUCUUUUAUUAGAGCCUAAUCUCAUGGUUUGCAGGACAGAAUCUUUCCUCAAGAUUUUUGGAAAAUAUUUCUUUUUUUUAUUAUUAUUUUAUUGUGUCUAUGAUUAUGAGAUAUAGGACUCUCAACGAAUCUAAUCAAUCCAAAUACUUUAGUGUUCAAACUUGUUUGAUUAUAUUAACAAGUUUAGAAUUCUGUUUAAACUUGACUCGUCUAUUUACCAAACCAAAUUCAACCAAGUUUUUAUUGAGUCGAACUCGAGUAACUCGAGUUUUUUUUUUAUUACUUAUGAAUUCUAAUUUGUUCUAAUCAAAUUCAGUUUGAGUCGAACUUAAAAUUUUACAAACACAAAAAGCUGCUCAAGUUUGAAUCGGGUUCGAACGAGCUCUUGUCGAAGCGCAUUCCAUGGAGUAUCGAAUAGUCUGAUUCAUCUUUCAAUCUUGGUAAGAUAAGAUGGUUCUAUUUUAAAACUUUAAUAUGAUCAUCCACACUAUUAACCACAUACAUGUUGCCAUGUUAGAUGGUGUUUAAGGUUCAAACCAUUUCUUCAUCAUUAGGAUUAGUUAUUGACAUAGUGCAAAGCUCAUGUAAUUUACUAAAUUUAGUACUUGGUUGGUUUUUCGUUCAAACACAUUAUUCUGUAAUAACAGAAACCAUCCAAAUUACUUAACAUCUCUCACAAAGCAACCCUCAAUGGCAUCACUAUCCAAAAGAUAAUCACCACAAUGGCAUAUCAUUCAAUAAUUUUCAUGGCAGACAGUAACCAUAAAUAUCCACCACUGUAACAGAUUAAGUACUAAUAUUUAUGGCCUACUCCAUAUAAAAUACUACAAUUAUGCAUCAAAAUCAAGAUUGCGUGGUUAUAUCGGGGAAGAACACUGGAAUGUUGAACGAACUGAUGUGCUAACAGAAUACGUAUCAAAAGCGCAUAUGUGUCUAUGUCAUUCACUUUCAUAGCCAAUAUGAAGUUGAGAAGUUGCAUUUUCCAUAAAUUUAUUGCAAAAAAAUCAAACAUUUAAUGACACCUAAAAACAGAACAAUAUUUAAAAAAAAAAAUGCUUGCCUGAGCUUACGAGUCUGAAUUUGAUUGGUGAAAUUUUAAAAGAUAUGGGAAAUACCUUCUGAUACUGUGAUAAUUCUGCAUAACGAAAUAUUAGAGUUUCAAAAGCUGCUCUUAAUGACACAAUCGGAAGAAAAAUUUGAGUUGUAAACUUUGACCAUGCUAUUUGACUUAAAGCAGAAAAGACACACUACAGCAAUAUGAAAAAUCUUAUAUCUAUUUGGAUACACACAUGAAUUGUACAAGAGUUAUCUCCGCAGCUAGCUAAGAACAAGAAUUCUUGUGGACUAAACGUAUUAGGGUUUUCAUUUGCAUUUUGAUUACUUGGCUAUAGUUUUUUUUUUUUUUUUUUAAAAGGCUAAGUAAUUUUUUUAUUAAAUUUUUUUCUAACAGGGGAAUUAUAGUUAGUUUUUUCAACGCGGAGAUCAUAAAGAUUUCGUUGUAUAAGUAGGUUUAUAUAUUUUUUUUAAGGCUAAUUAGUUUUUUUAUUAAGCUUUUUCCUAAUAGGGGAAUUGGAGUUGGUUUUUUCUAUGCGGAGAUUGUAAAGAUUUCAUUUUAUAAGCAGGUUUAUAUGUAUAACACAUGAAAUUAAAUAAAAAUUUUAAUUAUUUGUCAAACAUAUUCAAACUCUUUAGAGCAAACAAGUCACUGUUAGAGAAAUUAUCCACUUGCUUAUGCAUAUUUAGUGGCAGCAGCAAAUUUCAAGGUGAAAAUGAAGUAGAAAGUUUUUUAACCAUUGUCUCCAAGGGAAGUGGCUGAAAUGGUGGAAACCCCCACCUUGUCUUCUCAAAACGACCUCCCACGACGUCGUCUAAAGACUAGUUUAUGAUAGAGCAUCCCACUAUAUGGGAUUAUUUUUUGAACCUAGGACCUCUAAUUCUUGAGGAGCAUGAUUAAUAUUAGGGUAAAUCCCACUUUAUCCCCUUGUGGUUUAGCAUUUUUUCACAUAACUCCCCAGUGGUUUCAAAAGCUAUACAUAACCCCCUUAUGGUUUGGAUUAAAGUGUCAAAGUGACGGAAAUGAUCAUUCGCAACGGCGUCACCUAAAAUGUCAAAAUUACCCUUAUGUAAAGUUGAAAAUUAUUUAUUAACCAAGGGGGAUUAUGUGUAUAUUUUGAAAAUCAUAAGGGGAUUAUAUGGUAAAGUACUAAACCAUUAGGGGGUUAUAUGGUAAAAUAUAAAAAGCAUACGGGGUUAAUGCGUCAUGUAUUUAUAAGGGUAAUUUCGACAUUUUUAGAAGUUCCGUUACGAGUGACUAUUUCCGUCACUUUGACACUUUAAUCCAAACCAUGAGGGGGUUAUGUAUAGCUUUUGAAACUAUAGGGGGGUUAUGUAAAAAAAGGAUAAACCACAAGGGGGUAAAAUGUAAUUUACCCUUAAUAUUAAAUUAGUCUUUUUUUACUCUUUUAAUUUUAGUCAAAUGUAAUGUAGAAAAAAUGAGAAUGAAGAGAUAUUAAACAUAUUCGCCUUCCAUCUAGCUGAAUUGGAGUCCAUAUCUAGCAAUAAAAUAAAAUAUUAGAAUAUGCUUUUCCAAAAUGUUUUAUAUCAAAUUAAUUGCCAUGUGGGAACUUCACCGGGAAUAAUAAAACAUAGCAAAUAGAUUAAUCAAUCAAAAUUCAAAAGAAUGAAGAUGCAUCAAUAACUGAUUAAAGUUGAGUAAUCAUUUUUCUAAAUUAAUUACCAACCACAAUUAUAAUCAACCUUAGGCAUUAAUCGAUUAAAACAAUCUUGUAAACAUGAUAACUUAGUAUCAAAAAGCACAUCCCCAUUUUUUUUUUUUUUGUUUUGGCUUUUGUAUUGCCAUUUCCCCUAUUUAGUUUUCCUUUUAAAGUAAUUAACAUUAUUCACAACGUCAGUUAGUUAGUGCUGAUCAGGCAUUCGUUAGACAAACCUUCGUCUUGUAUUGGUUUCGAUCAAUCUAAAAUAAUUGUUUUGCUCUUAUAUCUUAUCUUUUUAAUUACUAGACUUUUUAUGAAUUUCAAUUUGAACUCGGUAUCUAUUGAAAGAAAAGAAUAAAAUCAUUGAGGGAAAAAAUGGAUCUGGACCAUAUUUUUAAUAAAAUCAUUAACAAACAUUUCAAAGAAAUAAUUGAUUGAGCCAUCAACAAUAAUUCUACGAACCCUUCUUGGAUUUCGAAAAGGAACAGUAAACAUCGCCAAUUUUUAUGGCCAGAACCAUAAUGUAACAUGGAGGAUAGUCAACAAAGUAUAUAUAACAAAAGUAUAAAUCAAAAUUGUAGUAUUGAACUUGAUCAUCCGAUCUCCUAAAUGAACCCUGAUACUGCACCUGAACAUCUGUCCAUCUCCAUAACGCGUCGUAACUCGUAAGGUAAGCAUUGCGUUUACUCUCUGUUUGGUCGAUCCAUUAUGGUGGCCAUGUCAAAUCAUUAUUUAUUAGUGCAUAAAAGAGAACAACCACCGUGUCCUGGGAGGCCGAGCAACUUGAAAGUGUUGAUUUUCAUAUUGAAUUCAAUCUGCAAACCAAUUCUAUCAUGGUAUAUAAACAAAAUUGUAAACAAUAAUGGCAUUAGAACAGGAGCCAAUAAUUGGUCCAUCAAGAAUUAGAUUAUUUUUUAUACAUCAAGAAAUAUGUUUAACUGACAUGUAUAUAAGAAAAUUUUAUGCGAAUCAAUUACUUGCACGUUGCUACUAUCAUCAAUGGAAAAACAGAUGUAUACAAGUUAAUUUAACCGGGUUGACAAUUCCAAUAUUAGUCCAAGUUGAUAGGCUAAUCGCUUAGAUUAUAGGUGAAAAAAAAAAACAUCCGUCAAAUACACCUCUGACACGGAUUUGUUUUUAUUCUAUACAUGCCGUGCUCUGACACAGACUUGUUCUUAUGAGUCAGCACGGCUCCAAAAUUAAAUUUCGCACGAGUUAAAAAAUACAAGCCUGCAGCCAUGCUUUUGCGUCAGUUCGAGCCGUGCAUAGUCAGCAUGGCUCGGACUGACAUAAUUGUAGAAUGUGGCCUUUCUGCAGACUUUAUUUCUAUGCCUAGUCAUUGCUGAAAUUGUCUAUCAAGAACCGAACUUUGAAGGCAUCUUUUGCUUGAUUGCAGCUGUGCAAAACCCAAGAUUCUUCCCUUGUUCGUUGCUUCUAAGGAUUUAGCUGUGAGCCCAUAAUUUUUUUUCCUCGGUUAAAGCAGGGUAAGUGCAGAAACUGCUUCAAUCAGCUCAGGUUUUUACCUUUGGCUGGAUUUGGACUGACCCUUUUGGUUUUUUGUUUCUCCUCUUUAAAUAGAGAAAGAGGCCUAAUGGAGACAGAAAAUGGAGAUGGCCAAUCCCGGUUGGAAGAAUAUGAAGUAAUGGAGCAGAUUGGCAGAGGAGCUUUUGGAGCAGCAUUUCUUGUUUUGCAUAAAAUUGAGAAAAAGAAGUAAGAAUCUCUUAAACCCCAGUUUUCCCAUGUGGGUUGUGCCUAAGUGUGCGUGUUCUUGUGAAUUUGUGUGUCUAUAUAUUCUUUUUAAUUUAUGGGCUCUGUUUAUUGGGUUAUUCUGCACAUAUUGGUGUAUUUAAUGAAAAGCGGAUAAAUAUUCAUAAUUCUUUAUCUUUUUGGUGUUCGGUUAAUUCUUCAAAAAUAAAAAUAAAAAAAAACAUUAUUGGCUUUUUCUUCCCAUUCUUCUUCCUUCUUUCCUUCUUCUUUGGCUGCUUCUUUCUCUUUCUUUUUUCCUCUAGCCAUGUGAAUUUAAGCAGAAGUAUUUCAACAUGGCAUCGAAAAAUCAGUUAAUACCAAGAAAAAGAUGCUACAAAAUGCCCAUUACAAGUAACUCAAGUAGGAAACAGAAAUCAAUCAAUUGAUAUAAAGAACAAGCAAGGAUUCACAGAAUUAACACAUAAAUAAAAUAAUGGUUUUUGGGAAGAAUACUGGCAGAAAAUUACUUGACAGUUAGUUCACAGUGGUUCUGGCUUUUUCUUUACUAUAAUAUUUUCUUGAAAUUUUGUAAUUGAGAGGGCAAAAGGAGCCUUUUUUGCUGAUAAUUUUAGUAAUAAUUAAUAUGCAUCUGGAAGUAAUGUUGAAAAUUGAGAAGUGAAACUAAUAUAUGAUGCCUGUUUUCACUUUUCUGUUGGAUUGAAAUGAAAUUCUUUUGUGUUGUUAUUGUUAUUUAUUUUCAUGAAAUAGUGCACAAGAAUAUGACCCCCAGCCCCAGCUCAUCCGGCUCAAACUUCACAUGGCCUUAUCGGCCUUUGUCAGGCGCCUGACACUUUUUUUUUUUUACUGCCGAGAGGCAAUAAAAAAAGUCACGCCCAUUCUGACUUUUUCAAAUUUUUUCCCAAAAAAAAAAAAAUUGCUCUCAUGCAUCCGUGCUAACUCAGCACGGCCGCUAUAAAUUGAAAAACACCUUAUAUCAGAGGUGCAUUUGGCGGAUGUUUUAUUUUUUUACCUAUAAUCUAAGAAAUUAGCCGAGUUGAUACUCAUGCCCACACGCCACACCUAAGAUUUUGUACACCAUACACAACGUCGCAAAUGUCAAACUCCACCCAGCCUGCCUGCCAAGAGAAAAGUUGAAAAUUUUCGACUUGAUUUGAUUUGGAGGGAUUUCGGCCCCUAAAUAAUGCACGUAAAGGUCCCAGCUAACUAUUUUGCAGUACAACUUCUUUAAUCUAUCUUCUGACUAUUUGCCUCAUCAUAACAUGCACUUCAGUUCUUAAGAUAGCAAAGGGGAAAAAAAAUUUUUGUUUUGUUUGGAGGAAAGGACUCAUCUUGAAGCAGAAACCAUGAAGAAUCAUGAGCAAAAGGCCACAAGACCAGAGCCCAAACAUAGAGGAAUUAAAGCUAUGCCCUUUGUCAUAGGUUGGUAAAUUUGAUGCUUCUUGUACUAUUUCUGCACAUAGAUAAGUGUAUGUCUUGGCGUACUUUGGAUAACCUAACCACGGGAUGAAUUUUGUAUGCAGGAAAUGAAACUUUUGAGAAGCUUGGAACCAUUGGAACCUCAUCCAAUCUCUUGAUUUAUUUGACUUCUGUUUUCCACAUGAAGACCAUCACUGCCGCCAAUAUCAUCAACAUCUUCAAUGGCACUUGCAACUUUGGUACUUUGGUUGGAGCUUUCCUUUGUGAUACUUAUUUCGGCCGCUACAACAUGCUCGGGUUUGCUUCAGUUUCUUCUUUCCUGGUAAGCAUUAGUCCAUUGAUUACUCAUCUAAAUAGCAUUUUUCUCCAUAGCUCGAUCGAGUUCGGGUUUUAAUUAAAGCUUCUUGUAAUUCUUGGAUCAUUUUGAAGGACAUGAUCAUUUCAAUUCUGAGUACCCUCUUCUGCUCUUCUGCAGGGCAUGUUGAUGCUUACGCUAACAGCUGCAAUCCACAAUCUGCACCCCCCUGCAUGCGGCGAUGGCAGCAUAUGCGCCAGCCCAACACUAUGGCAGAUGGCAUUUUUGUUAGGCGGUUUUGCACUGCUAGUAAUAGGGGCUAGUGGCAUUAGACCAUGUAAUUUAGCCUUCGGAGCUGAUCAGUUCAAUCCCAAAACAGAGUUUGGGAGAAGAGGGAUCAAUAGUUUCUUCAAUUGGUAUUAUUUGACCUACACUUUCGCCAUGAUGGUGUCACUCACAAUCAUAGUCUACGUUCAAUCCAACAUGAGCUGGUCUAUUGGACUAGGGAUUCCAACGUUUCUCAUGUUCCUGUCUUGUGCACUCUUCUUCUUGGGCACAAGAAUUUAUGUUAUCGUUUUGCCGGAGGGAAGUCCAUUGGUCAGUGUAGCUCGAGUUGUAGUUGCUGCAAUCAGGAAAAGGAAAUUACAGCUGCCGGAGGAACCUAAGCAGUCCCUUUUUAGAAGUUUCUCUACCGCAAGUUCCAUCAAUGCAAGGCUUGCUUAUACAGAUCAGUUCAGGUAAUAAUGGACUCAGCAUUUUUUUUUUUUCAUAUUCUACAACUCAUAUCACAUGCUGCUGGUUAGUACUACUAGUACUAUCAAAUUAGUGUAUAUAAUAUAACCAAAAUUUUUUUUUUUAAAAAAAUGAUAUAAUGAUUUUAGCCUUUAUAGGUAAUCAAAGUUCCCAAAAUAGGCCCACCUCUAUUCUCUUUGCCCCUUUUCAAUAUCAUGUUUUGGUUGCAAUUCUCAAUCCUUUCUUUUACCACGAAAUCCCUUACAUUGCCCUUCCCUUCAGUCCGAUUUGAACAAAUAAACAAGGGAUAAUUGCAGAAACCUCCCCUGAGAUUUCUGACAUUUGCACUGACCCCCCCUAACAAUUUUGAAAUUGCAUUAACCUCCCCUAGAAAAAAGUUGGAACUAAUUUAAAAGGUAAAAGUGUGUGAAAUUACUAGAGUACCCCUAUUACAUUUGACUUUACCAGAUGAAAGGUUUGAGUACUUUCAUCAAAAUCAACGUUUAAUUUGUUAAACAAAUUAAACUAAUCAAACUAUUUCUGCAUAGUUAAAUUAAUUAACUAAUUAACUAAUUAUCUAAUUAACUAAUCAAACUAUUUCUUCAUAGUUAAACUAAUAACUAAUUAUCUAAUUGUUAAUAGUUAUUAACUAAUCAAACUAUUUCUGCAUAGUUAAACUAAUUAACUAUUAACUAAUUAUCUAAUUAACUAUUAGCUAAUUAACUAAUUAUUUAAUUAAUUAAUAAUCUAAUUAACUAAUUUCUAUUUAUCUAAUUAACUAAUUAAAUAAUUAUCUAAUUAACUAAAUCUGUUGUCUGUCCGAAACUAACAAACUAUUUGCAUGUUAAACUAAUUAACUAAUUAACUGCUUAACUAAUUAACUAACUAAUUAUCUAAUUAAUUAAUUAACUAAUUAACUAAUUUCUAUUUAUCUAAUUUACUAAUUAUCUAAUUAACUAAAACUGCUGUUUGUCUGAAACUAACAAACUAUUUGCAUGUUAAACUAAUUAACUAAUUAACUAACUAACUGAUUAAUAGACUAUUUGCAUGUUAAACUAUAUGCAGUACGCAUUACCUAUUUAAAGUAUCGGCUCUUUAUGGGUAUUUUACUUUCAAACAUUUAAUUUAUGAUAAAAAUAUCAAUAUUUGUAAGUAAAAUUCAAAAAGUGUUACAAAAAAUAUCAAUAUUCUUACUUUCAAAUAUUUAAUUUAUGGCCCUAUGUCCCUCCCCUUUUGUAAGAAUAUUACUGUAAUACUUUUGAAUUUUACUUACAAACAUUGAUGCUUUUAUCAUAAAUUAAAUGUUUGAAAAUAAAAUACCCAUAAAGAGCCAAUACUUUAAAUAGGUUAUGCGUACUGCAUAUAGUUUAAUAUGCAAAUAGUCUGUUAAUCAGUUAGUUAGUUAAUUAGUUAAUUAGUUAAGCAGUUAAUUAGUUUAACAUGCAAAUAGUUUGUUAGUUUCAGACAAACAACAGUUUUAGUUAAUUAGAUAAUUAGUAAAUUAGAUAAAUAAAAAUUAGUUAAUUAGUUAAUUAAUUAACUUAGUAAUUAGUUAAUUCCUUAAUAGUUAAUUAGAUAAUUAGUUAAUAGUUAAUUAGCUUAACUAUUAACUAAUUAGUUAAGCAAUUGUCAAGCAAAUAAUAAUUUUCAAGUAAGAUGAGGGCAAAAUUGGAAGAAAUAUUUUAUCUCACUUCUACAAAUAAUUUUUUAUGGGACAUCAAACUGUCAGGGAGGUUUCUGCAACGAAUGGUUACUGUUCAGGGGAGGUAAAUGCAAUUUCUAAACCUAGAGGGGAAGUCAGUGCAAAUGUCAAAAAUCUCAGGGGAGGUUUCUGCAAUUAUCCCAAUAAACAAAUGUAAGUUGUGCACAUUGCAAGCAGUAAUUAAUAUAAAUUAAAUUGAAAUUGUACCUAUUAAUAGUUUUGGGGCAAAGAGCCAAUUAUUGAUAGUUCAACAGGGGCAGCAUGCAAUUAACUAAAAAUUCAUACUGCUCUGCUUUUAUUGUUUGGUUCAGAAGAGGAAACUCUUGAGCUGGUAUGGAAAAUUGACAAUUUUCCAGAAUCACGAAGAAAUACCAUCUUUUCUCCUGUCCCUGUCGAUAGAACUAAUAUUUAAUUUCAUCAGUUGCUCCAAAAGGAUAAUAGUAAAUAGCUGCAAAGUCUAAUGGAGAAUUAAUUAUUUCAAGACGGACCUGCCUAACACCUAUCCUAUUUUCGAUAAAUGAGCACAAUGGACCUCAAACUUUUAGCAAAUUAUAAUUUGUCAUUCUUAUAUAUCUUUUUCCUUUUUCUUUUUUGGUUGAACUUGUGCUCAAGUUUACUAGUUUUGUCCACCAACAGUAAAAAGCACUGAUUCAAAUCUCUUUUGAUACAUGAUCAAAUCCGAGCAAAUCACUCUAAAAGGCCCUUAAUGUCUUUCACAAACAUGCCAGGUAGUUCUCAAAGUAAUCACUAAAUACUGCAGUUUCCAAGUUUCCUUGGGCAGAUAAAAUUGAAUUGAAAUUGUGAAUUUAAUAAUGAUUGCCCACAAUUGUUUAGUCCAUUGCUUCACAAAUUCUUUUGGAAAAUUUCAUAAAAUUUUGUUUAAUGCCUGAUAAUCUUAGGCCAUGUUUGAUAAUUCAAUCCAAUACUUAAAUUUAAUGGAUUUAUAUCUUAAUAUGUUCAAGCGCGUUUGAUAACCAAAAAUUGAAUAUCUGAAUUAAUUAAGUGACAUUGAAGUUCUUAAGCAAAACUUGCUCUCAAAAAUUAGUGAUAUGGUAUUCAGUUAUCACUGAAUAUGAUAUACACUCAAAUAUAUUUGAUUUAAUAUUUAACAAUUCAAUAGUUUAAUGAAUUUAUAUUUCAAAUUUCAAAUUUCAGAUUUCAAUUUUCAAACUUCAGUUUUUAUCAAACUUUAAUACAUUUCGAGGUGAAAGAUCAGUUUACAGAACAACUAUGCAUUUACUUUACAGACGAACCAAUAUCUUGGCUUAAUCAGUGGAUAAAUGCUUUGCAUUAACAAGCAAGAUGGUUUUGCAUUCAGAUUUCUCAACAAAGCUGCAAUCAUAACAUCUGAAGAUCAAAUAAACCCAGAUGGAUCAGCUGCAAAUCCAUGGAGACUUUGCGAUAUUCAACAAGUUGAGGAAGUGAAAUGCUUGUUAAGAGUGAUCCCAGUUUGGAUUGCAGGCAUCAUCUACUUUGUUUCUGUGGUCCAACAGCAAAACUACGCUGUAUUUCAGGCCCUUCAAGCAGACAGGCGGUUUGGCAAAAGCAAGUUCAAGAUCCCUGCAGCUUCUUACAUCGUAUUCGCGAUGUUAAGCCUUACAAUCUGGAUACCAAUUUGGGAUAGAAUCGUAGUUCCAUGGCUGAGGAAACGCACAGGACAUGAAGGUGGCCUCACAAUCCUGCAAAGAAUGGGAAUUGGCAUGGCAUUGUCCAUUUUAACCAUGGUUGUAUCAGGCUUGGUUGAAAAUAAGCGACGAGCGACUGCCCUUACUAAGCCAACACUAGGGAUUGAACCACGAAAAGGUGCCAUUUCUUCAAUGUCAGGUUUUUGGCUAACUCCACAAUUGGUUUUUUCAGGGCUGACUGAGGCAUUUACGAUUGUUGGCGAAAAUGAAUUUUUCUACCAGCAAUGCCCUGAAAACAUGAGGAGUAUUGCCAUGGCAUUUGUAUUUGUUGGGAUUGCAGGAUCGAGUUAUUUAAGUAGUUUAUUAUCAUCAAUAGUCCAAAGCAUAACAAGUAGAAGCAAUGGAGAAAGCUGGUUAGCAGAAGAUCUCAAUAUGGGAAAGUUGGAUUACUUCUAUUACUUUAUAGCUGUGCUGGAGCUCCUGAAUUUGAUCUACUUUCUGGUCUGCGCCAAGUAUUACAAAUACAAAGAAACAGACACCACCCCUGAGGUGGCCAUGGAGAAAGUAGUGCAAUCUGAAGAAAAGGCUGUUGUUUGAGAAAUUAAAGAACUUGAGCAGUUUCGGUUAUAAAUAAAUUAAGGGAUGGCAUCCCUUUUUUUUAAAAAAAAAAAAAAAAGAACUUGAGCAGACAGAUGAUAAAGUAUUUGCACCUCCAACCUGGAUCAGUAAUGGGGAAAUGGGAAAGGAAUUUGCCAUUUGCCACAACAUUUUUUUAGUACUGGUCUUUCUGGAAUGCAAUUUUUAGGCAACUAGUCGGAGCCAUUUUUUCUGUGCUCAAAUGUCAUUUGAGCUGUGUUUUACUUUCAACAGCCUGAAAUAAAGAAGAAUGAGUUGCAGUAAUUCAUUAUUCCAAUAAGCCUUGUUAAAUACCCGCUUCGAUUGGCCCUUCCAUGUCUCUAUACUUGAGAAGCAAUAUCUGUGAAAUCUGUAUUACAGGGCGAAUAAGGUAAGGCUUGCUCGCAUGUAAAGUUGAUUGAAUGAUUUUCUCUACUGCAAAAAUGUUCUUUGAGUUUUGGUUCGAUAAAUUCUGUUAAAAGAUUGUGAAGGGGAUGGUGGAAUGGUUUUUCUGCUAAAAAAGUCCUUUCAGUUUUUUUCCCCUUUAUGGAUUAUCUAUGAAAUGAAUUUUCUUGUAGAUUAAAUGUCUUGGUGUAGUCAUUAAGUAUCUAAAUAUGCUUCAGCUUGAGCUUGACAACAAUCAAAAGCUCUCCAAUUCAGCUCAAAAAAAAUUAAACUCUAUCUACUUCAAUUCGAAAGUUUUAGCUAUACUUCCACGUGCAAUUGUACUCACUUUUGUAUUUAAUGUUGUGGUAAAUGCACACAAAAAAAAAAUCAUAUUUCAUACAAAGUGGAUACAAAUGCCAAUUUGUGAUAACAUCCUAAAAUUAAUACAGAUCUUUUGUUCCACUUCUUAUUUCCACUCUCUACUCCACUUUUUGUUAUAUUGCUAUUUUCCUUCUACAAACAUCAUUUUUUUGUCUUAUUAUCAAAUAACUACUAACACAGUAAAAAAUAAAUAUAACCAUCUCAACAAAGUAAUAUAUAAUAGAAAAUCAAAAAAUAUAGCAGAAAAUUCAUUUUAAAAAACCUCAUUUUUUGUGUAUUUUUAUUUUUUGAGUUUGUCAAAUUUGUGUAUUAUUCAGUAAUAAUUAUUGGAUUUUAAGGAAACAAAAAAAUUAAAAUAUGAUGUUUAUGAAGGAGCAAUAGUAAUAUAAUAAAAAGUGAGAUAGAUAGUAGAACAAGGAGAGGGACAAAAAAUCCAUUGCGGCCUAAAAUUGUGCAAUCUUCACAAAGUGAGCCAAAGCUCCCAUCAAGUGAAUAAGCUGAAGCUAAAGCUCAACUUACUAAAGCUUGAUCCCAAAUGAAAUUCUCCUAACUUGGUUAGUACCGUACAUGAUACAGAUUAAAAAUGAAUGCACUGGAUUUGUACAAACAGGCAUAAAUGUGCAUAUCACGGAAGUUCAUACUUCAUUGAAUGUAUCUGCAAGUCGACUUCAAAAUCCGCACUAAAAUUAGGACCACCAUUCACACUCACCUGAGUUGGUGCAUUCAUAAUGCUUGGCCACCAAAUUGAUGCAAAAAUAUAAAUAAAUAAAUAAAGGCUUAGAGGCAUCCACACACUAGUAUACUUUGUGUAUUGUCACAAUUAUACUGGAUUAAGUUAUACAAAUGUUAUCGUUAUCGAAAAAAUAAUAUGAAGUCGGAACAAUGGGAUUCAAGUAUCAUCUACGUCCAUAUUCUAGUGAAAAUUUUAAUUUGGCCCUCUAAACUAUGCUAUUGUAACAAGCAAGUCCUUUGUUUGUAAAUUAACUAUCACACCCUAAUUGACAAAUUUAAUUUCAAUUUGCUCCCUUCCACUAACUUGGUUUAUACACCACACUAGUAAGCAAAUUAAAACCUUGCACUUGGGGAUCGAUGUCACCCUUGUGACUUGUAAGAAGACGAGAAUUGUUAUUAAUAAGUGUUUAAAGGUAUCGAUGCCUGUUGAUUAGCUUGGUAUAUGUGUUGUUUAUUCAAACACUAAUAUGAUAUCUAGUCUACUUUAGUCUCUCGGCCACAAAUUUUUAAGUAAAUAAGUGUGUUUAGUGUAUUUGAAAAUUGACAUUUAUGAACAGAAAUUAAAACUUUAUCUGUGCGGACAACUCAGUUAACAUAUCAUUUGCUGUGGAUUAGGUAGAAAUUAUAGCAUAUAGUUAGCCAAAUUCACUUGGUCCGUUAGGCCUAUAUUGUAUGAGGCUAUGAGCCUUACCAAAAAUUAUAUGAUGAAACCGUGGUUUCCCUUGGAGAAAUAGCAGAUGGUUUGUCUUGGAGGAAGAUGCAUCAUGGAGCCAGCUAGCUUUCCACUACUAUUCAUGUCAUAAUUUGUCGCACUCGAUCUCAAAACAUUUCUAGUUUCCUAAAGCAUUUUUGGAAGUGUGUUCAUGUCAAAUGUGGAAUCAAGACUGUAAUCAUUUUUCAAACUUUUUUUAACCUGCUUCGCCGUUACUAAUAAGCAUUCGAGUUUCAACUAAACGAGUAGAGCGGAAUCGAGUUUUAACUUAAUUUAGGAACUUGAUUAAAAUUUAUUAAGUUCAAGUCAUAAAGUUAAUACUAUACACAAUAUAUGUAAAAAUGGGUAAAAUAGGUAGUGCUCUAUGAUAACUAUCAGCGCAGCAAAUAUUUGCACUCAAGUUCAAAUUGAAUGUUUGGUUAAGCUGCUCGAAGUUGACUCGCUAUCAAAUGAUGUCUAACUAUUCAUCAGACCAACUUUGUGAGUUGGCAUGAUUCUUUCACAAACCUAAUCAAAAACUUGAUGUCUUUCAAGGAGGGAUGCAUCUUUCGUACCCGAAACACAAACGAUUAUCAGUUACAACCGGUUGGAAUAAUAUAAUGCUUUUUGAAUACGUUGUAACUCUACGUGAACUAUUUUGUAAAACUUCAUAAUAGAUACAUAAUUAAUAAUAAAUACAUAAUUAUUAUACAUAGAACCCCAUGAAUAAUAAUAAAAUGUUACACUUUUUUUGUAAAUAUAAACAAAUAGUUAAAAUGUAGUUAUAACUUCUUUAAAAAAUAUUACACUGUUUUGGACGAUUAUCACUAAUAGGCAGCGGUCCAUGCCCCUGUCUGUCUCCUUCUUGAGCAUGACUAGCAUUUAUAGAACCCCCAAAAAAAUCUCAAGACCACAAAUGUCCCAACAAAAGAACAUCCAAUCCGACACGAAACCCUUCUCGUUGCCCUUCGUCAUUUUUGGAUUGGUCUAAUUGGGCUAUCUAUAUCGCAUAUAGAAGGGCAAAUUAUUCAAUUGGCCCUUUAACUCUUUGUCUAGGUAAAAUUAAGCCCCUCAUCUAUUUUUUGCUGACUUUAAGCCCUUGAACUUGUAAAAUGAGAAAUCCGUGGCCCUUUUAGCCAGUUUCUCCGGUUUUGCAACCGGAGGACCAAUUCACACGAAUGCCAGUGUGCUUCUUUCAAGGGCAUUUUUGUCCUCAUAUUCUAAGUAAAAAGGGUACACAUAGUCCACCUUCUCUCCACUGGCUUAGAAAUCAACGGGGAAUACAGUGGCCAAAAUUUUCCCAAAUGCCCGCCUAGACUCGUAAACGGACUUCCCAAAAACUACUGAAUUGGGUAAAGAAAAAUAAAUAUUCUCAAAGAUGCAAGACUUAGGCUCCAGAUGAGACAUCAGACAAAGAGAUCCAACCCCGUUUUUAUCCACAACCAAUACCUCACCAGGCAUUAAAGACAUCAGAAACCAAACCAAUAUCCUCAAAGAUGCAAGCUUGGACUUGUUAAAGACAUCAGAAACCAAACCAACUCCAGUAAUCGAUUUGAGGAUGUUGUCAUGGACGGAGACGAUGCCGGUGCCUUCUUGGCCGCGGUGCUGGACCGUGUGGAAGGCUAAAUAGCACAGGCGAGAAGCUUCGGGGUCACCAUAGAUGCCCAUCACGCCUCACUCCUCUCUGGGUUUGUCGUCAUAAUCGUCGGAGACGACGUCGGAGAUAUGAUUCUUGGAAGCGGCCGAGACACCGGUCCAGUGGACUUUGCGGGUGUGGGUGACGGGGUGGCAGGGUUUUUGAAAAGGAAGAGCAGAAGGGUUUGUCAUGAGGAGGGGUUGUAAGCGGAAAGAGCUUCUGGGAGGCCGCAGCUGCUGCGGUGGCGGCAGAGACGGCCAUGGGAUUGCGUGGGGGUUGCGCAGGGAAGAGUAAGGGAGGUGAGGGAAAUCAAAUAGAAAGGUGGACUAUGUGUGCCCUUUUUACUUAGAAUAUGAGGACAAAAAUGCCCUUGAAAGAAGCACACUGGCGUUCGUGUGAAUUGGUCCUCCAGUUGCAAAACCGGAGAAACUGGCUGAAAGGGCCACGGGUUCCCCAUUUUACAAGUUCGAGGGCUUAAAGUCAGCAAAAAAUAGAUGAGAGGCUUAAUUUUACCUAGACAAAGAGUUAAAGGACCAAUUGGAUAAUUUGCCCCAUAUAGAAUGCUGUUUAUUUAUUCUUUUGCACAAGACCACAAAUUCUUUUUUUUUUCUUUUUUUUUUUCUUGUUGGGGUAAGGUAAGAGUCUAAGGCCAACCCACUUUAUUCUCCAGUAAAUUCAUUACCCUUGUCUCCAGUUAUAGACGCAGAAUUCAGGUUUUAACCCCUUUGCCUUGUAUUAGUAGGCGGAUUAGUUAAGUCUCCCGUUCGAAUUGAACAAAAUUAUUUCAUUUAAAAUGUCAAGAUUUAAGAAUUCAGACAAGAUAGAACCAACAUAUAUUAGCAAAUAGCAUGCAACAAUUUAUGUUAAAACACUAAGAUGAUUACUUUCAUUGCGUGAAAAUGGCAAUCUGGACGCAUUCAUGAAUCAUUCGGAAGUUAUUUUCAGAUUUUAAUAGCUGUGUGAAAAUGGCAACUGGGCACGAGUGAUCAGUAGUCAUAAGGGCACAGCUGUGAAAGGGAUAUCUGAGAUGGUGAAAUUGCUAAAACACUAAGAUGCUUACUUCCAUUGUAUUACUUGCUAUCACGAGAUAUGGAGAUUUUGUUGUUUUGCAGGGAAAAGUUUAUCUAAUGGAAACGUGAGUUCACAGAAAAAUCAAGAAAAGUGCCAAACAGAAACCACAAACAUAAUUGCUCGCAAUUUUUUGCUUGUACAACUCCUAAUUGGUGACAUGAGAAAUAGAUGACAAAGUAGGUUGAAUCAUCACUAGAUCCAGCUCAAGUUUGAGAAGCUAUGAUCAUGAACUGAUCAACCCUUUGAAAUUCACAGACGUAUGGCAUAAAAGCAUGUGUUGUUCUAGUGAAAAGACCCGGAAUCCCUCAAACAAGCUACAACUGCAAAGAACCUCUCAACUAUAUAAGUUUAGCAGCUCAAUUACGUACCUUUUGUGUUCCCCAUGCAAAGCAUACUACUAAAUGAUCCUUCAAUUUUGAACAACGCAGAGAGGAUGAGCACGGCAUGCGCAAGGAGGACGUGCACAAAUCUAGAUAUGGUCCAAAUUUUAGCACCAAAAAAAAAAUGAUCCUUCGAUUUUUUUUCUUGUGUUAUUAUUAUUGUUAUUUUUUUUUAACGUACCCUUGUUUAAGUAAUUUUGAUCCUUAAAUUAGUCGAAUCACACUUUAAUCCUAGAUAUCUUUUUUUUUUUUUUAUCAUUCUUCCAUGUAAAAGGUCACACUAACAUGUCAUUCAUCAUGAACACACAACUGGAGGGGAAACAAUGGACAAUAAAUAUUUCCCUCCAAUAUGCAGUCAAAGUGGUAUGUCAAAACACAUGAAUUUCUUUUUCUUGUCUUGCGUCGACUUGGAGCUAGCUGGAUGUCAAAAGUCCGAUAAAAUCUAGCUUAAAAAACCCCUUUUUUUUAUUUCCGGGAAGAGAUGGGUGGGACUCGAAAAACGAGGAGGGUAUGGGAGGAUUUGAGUCCAGAAUCAUUUAAUUCCUAAAGUCUCAAUUUAGUCAAACUUAAAAAAUUUGUUUUGCUAGAGAUGGCAAUGGGUAAGAUAAAAUUUGAUAUUUGUGAGUAUUCAAUCCGAUGGUUAAUUCGGGUUACAUGCUCGAUGAGUUAUCCAUUAGAAUUUUAUCUCAUGAGUAGCUACCGAUGAGUAACUCAAACCUAACACAAAUGAAGUUAAUUAUAAUUAAAAAUAGAAGAAUGUUGAUUUAACCCUUCACUAAAUGUUGUGUUUUGCGACUAACGAAACAUGUUCGUAAGCAUGUUUUCAUCAUUAGAUAAUGACAUUUAGAUCAUUCCAUUUGUCUCAGUUUGUUUGGACUAGGAAAAGUAGUAAUAUUAGAGUGGCACGUGAGUUAGCUAAACGGGCAAAAUAUGCUUUAGAUUUUGCAAUUUGGUGGUCUAAUUUUCCAGACAAUGUAUCUCAUGUCAUCGUGACGGAAUAAUUACCUUAAUAUAACUAUUGUUUUUUCUAUCAAAAAUUAAAGAAAAAGCAUAAGUGCAAGAACAAGAGUAAAAUGCACAUCAUCAUGACCAAUGUUGUUAGACUCGGACUAGACAGUGAUUCAGCUAAACUAUUGGAUUAGGGGUCAACUGGUCGGAUCAGUCGGGCUAAUUCUCAAAAACUCGCUGACAUCAGUAUAAUGUCAUAGUUAUUUUAUAUUUUUAUAAGUUUCAAAAAUAUAGAAAUUUGGUUAUAUUCGGCCAAUCAUACAAAAUGUUCCAAAAAUAUUAGACUAACAAUCAAAUAUACACCUAAUAAUUAUAUAUAAAAAUAUAAAUUCAUGGCUAAAAUAUGUCCGUUCUCCAAAACUACUUGAAAAACAUAAUUUAAACAAAUUAAUGCAAGUUGGAAUCACAGAUGCUAAAUUGAUAAAAUGAUAGGGUAAAAAAUAUCUUGAUUUAGAGAUCAUUCAGGGAAGGAAUAAGUGGGUGGCGUUUUCUUAUUCCUAUUAAUAAAUGAAAGUGUUACAAUUUAGGUAAUUCAAAUUAUAUUUGAGAAAAACAAGAAAGAAAAGUUUGAGGACCUGGUCAAUCAAUUGAAACUAAUGACUAGUUUAGCCGGUUUUUGACGGUUUUGAUUGAUUGUUUACCAAAGCAAUUUUAUGCUACAAACCAACUCAAAAAAAAAAGGCUGAUCACGAUCGGACUGGUCGAACCAACCAGUCCAAUCCGAGUCUAACAACACUGAUUAUGACUGACUUUUGUUUUUAGUUUACCAAAAUCAAUAUCAUAAUUAUAGGCUUAGGAAAAUAUUAAAGAGAGAGAGGGAGAGAGAGAUAAAAGUAUGACAACAUAAAAACCAAUUUCACGUAAGACACGGACACUACACGGUCAAGAACAUGCAUUAAUGGUUGCGAAGUAGGAUGGAAAUUAGACUUCUCCACGUCAAGAUCAAAGUCAAGUGAUUUUACUACAAACUUGUAUGAGUGGUCAUUUGGAAAAUAUUAGGGACCCCGUGUAAAAUCAGCAUACCUUCUUAGACUAAAGACCGGUUGUGAAGUGUGAACCAAUGGGCAGCACCAUAGACCUUUCUCAAAGAAACCGCAAUUAUUAACCACAAUCGACAACCAACAGCCCACAUGCCUAUUGGCCACCACUGGUUUUAAGGUUUGGUAAAGUGGGAAGUUAAGGUUCAAAUCCUGUUUUCUAUCACUUGCCAUUAUAUGUCCGUUUGAUCACUUGUCAUUAUAUGUUCGUUUGAUUCGAUAAUGAUUCAAUUUCGUUAAUUUCUUAAUAACUCAAUAGAAUAUGUUAAAGUAAGAAUAAGAUAGAUGAGUGAUUAUUAAAAAAAAAAAAAAGAAAUUAAGAAUCCAAAAUUAUUACCGACUGAAAUUGUGGUCCAGCAGGAUCAGAAUUUAGCUAGUGUGAACAAAUACCAGCUAGUUGCAGAAAAAAGGUGGACUAAAAUAGUGAAAUAAAGAAGCAUGUGUCAGUAUGGGAUUGGCAGAAAAGAUGCAAAGUUUGAAAUGCAGUGAGUUGGUGGCACACACUUUUAGUUGGGUCAUCUGCAGUUAAUGCAUGUGACUGGUACUCUCUGAAUUCUGUCAUCAUUUCCCCACUCAUCAAGGCAUAAAAACAUGUAAGCAAACACAUUAGUUGAAUGAGUGAGAAAAUUAUCGAGAGGAACCAGGAAGUGAGCAUGGAAAAGAAUGAGAAAGCUGCUGCUGUGGAAGAAGUAGAUGAGCCUGAGAUUAACUACAGAGGAAUCAAGGCCAUGCCCUAUAUCAUAGGUUUGAUGAAAGAAAAGAUACCUAAUUUAUCAAUUGGUUAUGAUUCCAGGAACCCCCUUUUUUUUUGGGGGGUUCAUCCCAAGAAAUCGCAGUUUCAAUUGUGUAGCAUCUUUUGCAUUUUUUUCUGAACUGAUUUGGAUUUUUUUUUUGUUCAGGGAAUGAGACCUUUGAGAAGCUUGGAGCUAUAGGAACUUUGUCCAACCUGUUGGUUUAUCUCACCUCAGUUUUCAACCUGAAACAUAUUACAGCUACAACUCUCAUCAAUGUUUUCAAUGGUACCACCAACUUUGCUACCUUAAUUGGAGCUUUCCUUUGUGACACUUACUUCGGUCGUUACAAGACACUGGGAUUUGCUUCAAUUGCCUCAUUUCUGGUACUACCAAUAACUGGCAAAUAAUCUUCCUCUAUAAAUGUUCUCUUCUGUUGAGCUUUACAAUGUUGCACUAAAGGAAUACAUAAGUGUUGAAUUGAACCCUUGUUCUUGGACAAGGAAACAAACUAGAUUCGAUAACGCUAAUGAUUUAUUCUUUUUUAGUUCAAAUUGCGAGAUGAAUAUGAGAAGAUAAUGCUCUGAUUAUUGUAUUUCAUCUACUAAAUUGUGCUACAUUUUUUGCUCAAGGGGCUGCUUCUGAUAUCGUUAACAGCAGCAGCGAAGAAGCUGCAUCCUCCCCACUGCGGAUCAGAAGAAAGCCAUUGCAUUGGGCCAACUGCAGGGCAGUUAGCUGUUUUGCUAGGUGGAUUUGCCCUCAUGAUAAUAGGGGCUGGUGGCAUUAGGCCAUGCAAUUUGGCUUUUGGAGCUGACCAAUUCAAUCCUAAUACUGAAUCUGGAAAAAGGGGUAUCAACAGUUUCUUCAACUGGUACUUCUUCACCAUAACCUUUGCCCAGAUGGUAUCAGUAACGCUAGUUGUUUAUAUACAAUCUGAUGUGAGUUGGUCAAUAGGAUUAGCAAUUCCAGCUAUUUUUAUGUUGGUAUCAUGUUUUCUCUUCUUCGUCGGUACAAAAAUAUACGUAAUUGUGAAGCCUGAGGGAAGUCCCUUGACAAGUAUAGUCCAAGUCAUAGUGGUUGCAGUCAAGAAGAGGCAGCUAAAGCUACCGGAGCAACCAGCGGCGUCCCUUUUCAGUUAUACACCUCCUAAAUCCAUCAACUCUAAGCUUUCGUACACGCACCAGUUCAGGUAACAGUUUGAUUUUUUAUUACAUUGAUUGAUCUUUAAUGGCAUCUUCGUUUUGAGUAUAUGCCAAGUUGACCUGGUCGCGUUGGAAGUUAAAAGCAGCUGCAUUUUUUUUGAGUUCGCCAAGAUGGUUGUAUGGAAGUUAGAGGACUAACUUCUAAUCCUAUUGGCAAAAAAUUCCACGUAGCAAUGAGACCAAAUUAGUAAAAUACACACUCAAAAGAAUUGUCUGCAUCAAGAGUGUGAAUGAUUUUUCACACAUCACAAAAAUCCAGAUACUACUAACACGCACUCGACCGAACCGUCUGCAUCAAGAGUGUGAACAAAAAAGUCCGCACUUCACUAAAGCAAAACUAGUAAUACAUGCCCGGACAAAGCAGCCAGCAUCAAGAGCAUGUAUCUGGCAAACAAGUGAAUGGAUGGACGUGGACUCCGGCAUCUAGAAGCUAUUUUCAAAUUUUCUAGAUGGAUGAAAGCCGACAAGAUUUUCCGUACACUUGCAAUUACUUUUAUAAUCCUAAAUAAACUUUUGCUGUUUUCAGAUUUCUUGACAAAGCUGCAAUUAUAACUCCAGAAGAUGAGAUCAAAUCGGAUGGAACAGCUGCGAAUCCUUGGAGGCUUUGUAGUAUUCAGCAAGUGGAAGAAGCAAAAUGUGUGUUCAGAGUAAUUCCUAUAUGGGCUGCAGCUAUAAUAUACCAUGUUGCAAUCAUUCAACAGCAGCAAUACGUAGUUUUCCAGGCACUUCAAUCCAACAGACAUCUAGGCAAAAGCAGCUUCCAAAUCCCUGCUUCAACCUACACUAUCUUUUCCAUGUUAAGCCUCACCCUAUGGGUACCCAUAUAUGAUCGGUUCGUUGUCCCAUUCCUCCGAAGGCUCACAGGAAAAGAAGGGGGCAUAACAAUCCUUCAAAGAAUAGGCAUUGGAUUUUUCCUUGUCAUCAUUUCAUCACUCAUCGCUGCCUUCAUUGAAGAUCGGAGGAGGACAUUGGCUCUGACAAGGCCAACGCUAGGAGUUCAUUCUCCAAGAGGGGCGGUUUCUUCCAUGACUGCCUUGUGGUUGGUUCCUCAGCUCUCUCUAGCAGGACUUGCUGAGGCAUUUGCUGCCAUUGGCCAAGUGGAAUUCUACUACAAGCAGUUCCCAGAAAACAUGAGAAGCUUUGCAGGAUCACUCUUCUUCUGUGGCAUGGCUGCUUCAAGUUAUGUGAAUAGUUUUUUGCUAUCAAUAGUGCAUCACACAACUGAAGGUUCUCGCUCUGGAAAUUGGUUGCCAGAAGAUUUAAACAAGGGGAGACUAGACUACUUCUAUUUCCUCAUCACUGCUCUUGGGGUCUUAAAUGUUUGCUACUUUGUAGCUUGUGCCAAGUGGUAUAGGUACAAGGGUGAGGGUAGCACUGCUGUAGCUGUGGAAAUGGAAACUAAAAAGUCAGAAAAAGCUGUAGUUUAAGAUGGAUCAAUGAGUCAGUCCUCUUGAAACUGAUAUUGAACAUUAAACAGGAGCAGUUCUCCUCAGAUUGGAAGUUCAUAAAGAUCUAAAACUUCCCGUUUCUUUCUGUACCACUGAGUACACUACCACCUGACACAGUCUCCUUGGUCAAGCAAGAUCACUUUGUCUUUGGAUAAAUACACUUAGAUUAGGAGAAUAAUAUGAUACAAAAAAGGGAAAGCAUCAGCUCAAAUUCCACAUUCUAUGGUUUACAAUUCCACUUUACUGAAAUUCAACAGCUACAUAGCAAAGGAGAUUCGCAAGCAUAGUUAUUAAACUCGGCCCGACCGGCGGUCGAACUGGUGAACAGGACAUUAGACCGGACUGGGUUUUGAGUUAGAUCAUUUAAACAAUUAAUCCGUUGAAUAGUCAACGGACCAGCGGUUCGACCGGAUUAAACCGAAAAUUCGGUCGAUUUUGUCUACGAAUCGGAUUUCGGAGAAAAAAUUUAUGCCUUCCAUGGAAUUCAAACAUUGGACGUCUGGGCAUUGCAACAACGCGGAUACCACCAGGCUACUUCACAAUAUGAUGCUAAGGUUUCUUACUUAUAAUAUAUAAACCUUUUUUCAAUUUUAUCUUUUUUUUUUAUUUUUCUAAAACAAUUUAUCUGGAAUCUUUUAAUAAAAUUUAUGACCCCCAAACUCUAUAAGUUAUAGAAUAGACUUCAAAAAUAACAUAUUACAUAAUUCAUUUUAAAGACAAAUAUUAUUUUUAAUAAUUUUUUGCACUUAAAACUUAUAAAUAAGUUAGAUAAUUACACUAAAUAUAGAUAAAAUUUUAUACUUAAAAUUUGAUGUAUUACUACAUAACUUUAUAUUUUAUUGAUUCUUAUAUGAAUUAAUUAUUUUAUAUCAAAUUAAAUUAUAUGAGUAUUUGCUAUAACAUUAUUUAUUACAAUUUAUAUCAUACAUCUUAUAUUUAAAGUUAUGAAAUAUAAUAUUUAAAUAUAUUUAGUGACCCACCGGUUCAACCACUCAUUCACUGAUUGAACCAAUAAUCUGUUGACCCACCUCAUUCGCCAGUUCCCUCCCAGGUUGGGUUUAAUAACUAUGUUCACAAGUCAUAACUCGCCUUUGCCAUUUGCGAAAAAGCCAACUUAUCCAUUCAAAGAUAUCAUCCAAACUACGAAACCCUGAAUUAUAACCAAACGCAAUGCUUGUCACUAGUCAGUUGUUGCGCCUGCGGCAAGGCAAAACGACCAAGUGACAUACGGAAUACGGCGACAACAACAGCAAAUAGAGAUUCACUUCGUGGAAAAUACACUUGGAUGAAAAAUUUUUUAGAGUAGUUUCCUAUGCUCGACAGAAAAAAAUUCACAACUCAACAGCAAGACGCAAAAGUCAAGCUAAAAAGAGACAGAACCAUGAGAACAAAAACUUGAUGGAUAUAGACAAUACGCUAUGGCAUAACAAGCGUUGAUUUAUCCCACUUCGGGUUCCAGAGAACGCCUGGGAAGGUAUAAAAUUAAAAAUGUUAUUCUAGCAAAUGUGCUGGAAAACAGCAAUCACAGUCCACUUUGAACUCUCUGUAUCAAAGGGAACUCACAUCUAAGUGUGGAUUAUGGGUUAAUUUUUACUCUCAGCACACGUUGCACCCAGGAGCAGCAGCAGUC
rnacentral:lncRNA from 1 species